rnacentral:lncRNA from 1 species
NUGAAGAUGUAGAUCUUGUAGGUCUCCACGCUCUUCUUCGAUCUCUUCUUCUUCUUGUCGCCGGCGGCGGCUCCGGCUUCCUUGGGGAGCUUCUUCCCGGCCUUGGGCUUCUUCUCGGCGGGGGCUUUCUCCGCCACGGCAGACUUCUUCUCCUCUGCUGGCUUCUUCUCCGCAGGCUUCUUCUCGGCUUUGGGCGCCAUUGAUAGAGUUGGGACUUGGGAGAGAAAAGUUUGGGGAUUUUUCGAUUUGGAUUGAGACCGAGAGUUGGAUAUUUUUGUGAUGACUGAAGUGUGAGGAGAUUGUGUUUUUAUAUAUGGUGAGCGGUUGGAUUUUAUUGGCUACUGGGAUUUCACGAGGAUCACUGUCUUGGGGUGUGGUUUAAGCCGUGGAUUGGGUUUGGUAAUCUUCGAAAAUUGACGGUUGUGAUGUGUUAAGCUGAUUCAAGCGAAUUGGUGCCGGAUCGGUGAGUUUAAGUGGAAUUGGACGGUGGAUACUUAUUGCAUGGAAUUGGUAAUGGAUGGUUGAGAUGAUGGGUGAUCGAUGACAUCAUCUGGGUGUAGUUUUUUAGGGGAAUGGAUCCGGCUAGGAAUCUUAGGGAUCUCAUGAUCAUGACCGUUCAUCGUACAUCGUACGAUCAGAAAUUAUUUCAAAAUUUAAAAUUUAAAAUUAAAUAUAAAUAGUACCUAACGAAAACUGAUUGCACGAUGUACGAUGAACAGUCAUGAUCGUGGGAUCCCUAGGAUCCCCAAGAAAAUGAUCCGACGAGGAUCCUUUCCAGUUUUUUAAUUUCCUUUUAGGGUGAACUGCAAUUUAGUUCUUGAAUUAUUACUUGAGUGAAAAUUAGGCCCAUAAACUUUUUUUUUUGGAAAAAUAAGUCCUUGAAUUAUUAAAAUAUGUCAAUUGCAUCCCUAAUAUUAUGUUCGAAGAAACAAUAUUCAAUUUUCCGUCAAUUGAAGUCACGUUACUUGCAUCUUUGAUGAAUUGUCUUUUAGUUAGGAGAUUAAUUUACAUAAAAUAAGUUCACUGCCAUUAUGCCAUCAUUGUCCAAUAAUGCAUUCACAUGUAUUUUAGACUAGUAUGCCAUGUAUGAAGUAAAUCUGUUCCAUGUAAAUCAUUAUCCCCGGUUGGACGUAGGUGAUGUGCAUGUGUUUGUCUGCCCCCUCUCAACAACCACUCUUACCAGCCACCCAUUAUUGCUUUUAGAAAGAGAGGUCUACUUUAGAAAUUUCUUAGAAAUGAAGCCAGACUAAUUUUUAAUGUAAAGUCAGCUAUGUUUGAAGUCAAUUACUCUGCUAAUUAGGCUGUCUGGCAAACGGGUCGUGUCAGUCGUGUUCGUGUCGUUUUCGUGUAACACCUGUUAUCUUAACGGAUCGUGUCGUGUCACACCCGUUAUCUUAACGGGUCCUUAACAGGUCGUGUCACUUUACCCAACGGGUAAAGUGACCCGACCCGUUAUGACUCGUUAUGACCCGUUAAGAAAAAUAUAUAUUUUUUCUUAAAUUUGCACAUACCACACAUUGCCACAUAAAUAUUACUUCAAAACAUUAAAACACAUUUGUCGUUUAAGUACUACAUCUACACUCGAAAAUAAGAGCCUAAUAAAAAAAUAAUACAUACACUACUAAUCUAUUACAAAUUUUAAAUGUGCAAGGAUAUGCAAAAUGAAACAGUUUUUGUUUUCAAUGUUGUGAAAUCUUUCUCAAAAGUUUAAACCUCAAUUUACAAAAUCCUCGAUUUACAUUGAUCAUCAUGAAAUUGCAUUGGAACUUUGGCUUGAUCUAUUGCCUUCAAGAGUUAUGUUGAUGAUGUUUUCAGUAAGGUUUUCCACGUCAUAACUAUCUUCUGCAUAAACUAAGCAUAGAAAAACCAACCAUUAAAAAUCAUUCAAAUUAUGAAAAGUUUACCAAAAUAAUUAUGAAAAAAAAUAAAACAAUAGUACUAUACCAUACUUUUAUUAAGUAUAAACAUAAGAUUUUGUGGUAUCCACUAGUGUAAAUAUUUUAAAUUGAAGAUCGAAUUCAAUCAUUGUAUUCAUAUAAGGUCAAUGAGUGUACUUGUAAAAAAUCAUCAAAAUCGGAGUUAAAUUAACCGUUAAAUCGUGAUUUUUCGUUUAUAACCGUCGAAAAGUUUUGUCCCGUUACGUGCUCUCUGAAUGUUUGUUUUCUGCAAUUUUUGGCGUAUGAGAUCUCGAAAUAUAUACAAACAUGUUUGACGGUUGGAUCUUUGAAACUAGUUUCGUAUAAUGAGUAUCCCAUCAAAACAAUAGAUUCACUAAUACUUGAAGAGUUUAUUCAUACUUUUAUUAAGUAUAACAUAAGAUUUUGUGGUUUCCACUAGUGUAAAUAUUUUAAAUUGAAGAUCGAAUUCAAUCAUUGUAUUCAUAUAGGGUCAAGGAGUGUAGUUGUAAAAAAUCAUCAAAAUCGGAGUUAAAAUGACCGUUAAAUCGUGAUUUUUCGUUUAUAACCGUCGAAAAGUUUUGUCCCGUUACUUGAUCUCUGAAUGUUUGUUUUUUGCAAUUUUUGGCGUAUGCAAUCUCGAAGUAUAUAUAAACAUGUUUGACGGUUGGAUCAUUGAAACUAGUUUCGUAGAAUGAGUAUCCCAUCAAAACAAUAGAUUCAUUAAUACUUAAUAGUUUAUUCAUACUUUUAUUAAGUAUAGUAUAAGAUUUUGUGGUAUCCACUAGUGUAAAUAUUUUAAAUUGAAGAUCGAAUUCAAUCAUUGUAUUCAUAUAGGGUUAAGGAGUGUUGUUGUAAAAAACCAUCAAAAUCGGAGUUAAAAUGACCGUUAAAUCGUGAUUUUUCGUUUAUAAUCGUCGAAAAGUUUUGUCCCGUUACUUGAUCUCUGAAUGUUUGUUUUUUGUCAUUUUUGACGUAUGCCAUCUUGAAGUAUAUACAAACAUGUUUGACGGUUGGAUCUUUGAAACUAGUUUCGUAUAAUGAGUAUCCCAUCAAAACAAUAGAUUCACUAAUACGUAAUAGUUUAUUCAUACUUUUAUUAAGUAUAAUAUAAGAUUUUGUGGUUUCCACUAGUGUAAAUAUUUUAAAUUGAAGAUCGAAUUCAAUCAUUGUAUUCAUAUAAGGUCAAGAAGUGUAGCUGCAAAAAAUCAUCAAAAUAAGAGUUAAAAUGACCGUUAAAUCGUGAUUUUUCUUUUUAUAACCGUCGAAAAGUUUUGUCCCGUUAAUUGAUCUCUGAAUGUUUGUUUUUUGUAAUUUUUGACGUAUGCGAUCUCGAAGUAUAUACAAACAUGUUUGACGGUUGGAUCUUUGAAACUAGUUUCGUAGAAUGAGUAUCCCAUUAAAACAAUAGAUUCACUAAUACUUAAUAGUUUAUUCAUACUUUUAUUAAGUAUAACAUAAGAUUUUGUGGUAUCCACUAGUGUAAAUAUUUUAAAUUGAAGAUCGAAUUCAAUCAUUGUAUUCAUAUAAGGUCAAGGAGUGUAGUUGUAAAAAAUCAUCAAAAUCGGAGUUAAAUUAACCGUUAAAUCGUGAUUUUUCGUUUAUAACCGUCGAAAAGUUUUGUCCCGUUAAUUGCUCUCUGAAUGUUUUUUUUUUGCAAUUUUUGGCGUAUGCGAUCUCGAAAUAUAUACAAACAUGUUUGACGGUUGGAUCAUUGAAACUAGUUUCGUAGAAUGAGUAUCCCAUUAAAACAAUAGAUUCACUAAUACUUAAGAGUUUAUUCAUACUUUUAUUAAGUAUAACAUAAGAUUUUGUGGUAUCCACUAGUGUAAAUAUUUUAAAUUGAAGAUCGAAUUCAAUCAUUGUAUUCAUAUAAGGUCAAGGAGUGUAGUUGUAAAAAAUCAUCAAAAUCGGAGUUAAAUUAACCGUUAAAUCGUGAUUUUUUGUUUAUAACCGUCGAAAAGUUUUGUCCCGUUACUUGCUCUCUGAAUGUUUGUUUUUUGCAAUUUUUGGUGUAUCCGAUCUCGAAAUAUAUAAAAACAUGUUUGACGGUUGGAUCAUUGAAACUAGUUUCGUAGAAUGAGUAUUCCAUCAAAACAAUAGAUUCACUAAUACUUAAGAGUUUAUUCAUACUUUUAUUAAGUAUAACAUAAGAUUUUGUGGUAUCCACUAUUUUAAAUUGAAGAUCGAAUUCAAUCAUUGUAUUCAUAUAGGGUCAAGGAGUGUAGUUGUAAAAAAUCAUCAAAAUCGGAGUUAAAAUGACCGUUAAAUCGUGAUUUUUCGUUUAUAACCGUCGAAAAGUUUUGUCCCGUUACUUGAUCUCUGAGUGUUUGUUUUUUGCAAUUUUUGGUGUAUGCGAUCUCGAAGCAUAUAUAAACAUGUUUGACGGUUGGAUCAUUGAAACUAGUUUCGUAGAAUAAGUAUCCCAUCAAAACAAUAGAUUCACUAAUACUUAAUAGUUUAUUCAUACUUUUAUUAAGUAUAAUAUAAGAUUUUGUGGUAUCCACUAGUGUGAAUAUUUUAAAUUGAAGAUCGAAUUCAAUCAUUGUAUUCAUAUAAGGUCAAGGAGUGUAGCUGCAAAAAAUCAUCAAAAUCAGAGUUAAAAUGACCGUUAAAUCGUGAUUUUUCUUUUUAUAACCGUCGAAAAGUUUUUUCCCGUUAAUUGAUCUCUGAAUGUUUGUUUUUUGUAAUUUUUGACGUAUGAGAUCUCGAAGUAUAUACAAACAUGUUUGACGGUUGGAUCUUUGAAACUAGUUUCGUAGAAUGAGUAUCCCAUCAAAACAAUAGAUUCACUAAUACUUAAUAGUUUAUUCAUACUUUUAUUAAGUAUAACAUAAGAUUUUGUGGUAUCCACUAAUGUAAAUAUUUUAAAUUGAAGAUCGAAUUCAUUACUUGUAUUCAUAUAGGGUCAAGGAGUGUAGUUGUAAAAAAUCAUCAAAAUCGGAGUUAAAAUAACCGUUAAAUCGUGAUUUUUCAUUUAUAACCGUCGAAAACUUUUGUCCCAUUACUUGAUCUCUGAAUGUUUGUUUUUUGCAAUUUUUGGCGUAUGCGAUCUCGAAGUAUAUACAAACAUGUUUGACGGUUGGAUCAUUGAAACUAGUUGUGUAGAAUGAGCAUCCCAUCAAAACAAUAGAUUCACUAAUACUUAAGAGUUUAUUCAUACUUUUAUUAAGUGUAACAUAAGAUUUUGUGGUAUCCACUUGUGUAAAUAUUUUAAAUUGAAGAUCGAAUUUAAUCAUUGUAUUCAUAUAGGGUCAAGGAGUGUGGUUGUAAAAAAUCAUCAAAAUCGGAGUUCAAAUGACCGUUAAAUCGUGAUUUUUCGUUUAUAACCGUAAAAAAGUUUUGUCCCGUUACUUGCUCUCUGAAUGUUUGUUUUUUGCAAUUUUUGGCGUAUGCGAUCUCGAAGUAUAUACAAACAUGUUUGACGGUUGGAUCGUUGAAAUUAGUUUCGUAUAAUUCGUAUCCCAUGAAGUUCAACGGUGUGUGUGUGUAUAUAUAUAUUUAUUUAUUAAGUAGAUUUAAAUCUAUUAAUUUUGUAUGUAUAAUUAUUAUAGUUUUUAGGGGUAUAAAAUUUAAUAUAUAUAUAUAUAUAAUUAUUAUAGUUAAUAUUUUGGGUAUAAUUAUUAUAGUAUAUAUAAUUAUUAUAAUUAUUAUAGUUAAUUUAAUAUAUAUCUAUAUAAUUAUUAUAGUUUUUAGGGGUAUAAAAUUGUUAAAUUAAUAUAUAUAUAUAUAUAAUUAUUAUAGUAUUUUUUUAGGGUUAUAAAUUAUUAAAUUAAUAUUCUGCUUAUCGUGUAUCGUGUUACCCACGUGUAUACCCGAACAAACCCGUUAUCUUAACAGGUGCUUAUCGGGUUACCCGAUAACGACCCGUUUCGUUAUCGUGUCGACCCGAACACCUGUUAAUUUCGUGUCGUGUCGUGUCGGGUUAUCGGGUCGUGUCAGGAAUUGCCAGGCCUCUGAUCCAUGCCAACAAUUUUAUGGGAAGUAGGAAGCAAGGUGCUGAUAGGGAUUUUACCCACCUGUAAAAGUAGGGAUAAAAACAUUUAAAAAUACUUGUAAGAGUAUAAGGUUAUCAUAAUAUAACGGCUCAAAUAAGAUCGUUUUCUGCAUGAAUUAAAUGAAUAAUUUAUGUUUAAGCUAAUUCUUAGCUAAUUAUUUAGAACAAAGUUAUGAAAAGGUUGAUUUUAGAAUUUAAAAUAAUAAAAACGAAUUUAAAUAAAAAUAAUUAAAUAAUUGACAAAGUAAAGAAAGCAAAAGACAAAGGUUUUGGAAAACAAUUUAAACACUAGGGUUCAGCCAGUCACCAUUAACAAUCCUAUGCAAUUUUAACAUUUACUUAUGAAUUUCUACAUACAUGCUUUGAAGGUUAGGCUUUCCUAAUACAUAUUUUCCUCGUGAUGUUCAAGCGAAAACGUAUAUCUAACAUGCAACCCGUCUGUAAUGUUCAGAUUAAAUAUAAACAUGCAAGACUCAUUAAGCUUUGUGAAAACCCUUGGAAAAACCACUCAGCAUUUAAGAGCGUGAUGUUCGCCUUAAGUGAACUUACAAUUACUAAUCACAAGAAGCCCUCCUCAAUUUAAGGGUGAUGUUCCAACAAAAAUUGCAUCAAAUUACUUGUUUAAAAACCCUAAUGAUCGCGAAUCACUAAAACAAUUAGAUAUUUUAAUCACGGUGAUUAAUAAUUCAAAGCAAGCAUGCAUCAAUUCAUAAGCAAAUUAAUAAAAUCACAUAUUCAUGUUAAGGCUUAAGGCAUCGCCCUAGCAAAAGAAACUAGCUACGAACAAUCAUAAAACAAAAUAUUAUUGAGAAUAAGGAUAGAAAACACCUAGAAAAUAAACUUGAAAAAUUCUCUAAAAUGUGCGUGUGUUUCCUCAUCUCCUUCCCUUCUAACCCUAACGGCUAAAAAGUCUUAUUUAUACUACUACAAAAUAAAACCCUAAAAAGUCUUAGAAUAAAACUAGGAAACAUAACAAAAUAAUAAAACGGAAAAGUAAAGGUUUCUUAUUUAAACUGAAAUUCGGACUUCUCAGAAAAUUUGACUUUUGACUGACUAAAUCAACUCCGAUUUGGUCCAAAAAGGUCUCUUUUGAAAGCUGGAGACGUCCCCUACAAAUUAUCAGAAGGAAUCUUUCUCAAAAUAUGCCAUAUUGACCUCAAAAAUACCCAAAACGUCCAGAAACGUCAAUCUGGGAAAGCUACGCGCUGGGCCUUUAUUUCACCGUCACGGUCAAACGGUUUGGUAGAAAAAUCUGAAACUUUGACACAAUCAUCUUGACCAAACUGAUCCUUCUUUUUCAUGUGUCAUUUUUUAACAUUUAUAAGUAGUGGCGGAUACAAAAUUUCAUGUGUCAUUUAUGUUGGCUGUGAGUAAUAUGUUAUUGUUUUUGUAUUUUGUUUGUUUCGACAUUCUAUUAGGGAAGUGGCCACCCCCCAGUUAGAGUUAAGUAAAGUGUUUGCGUGCUUAAAUUGCAGUGAAAUAGAAGCAAAAGGGAGUUGGUUACCUUUGAAAAUCAAAGCCAAGAAGAAUCUGACAAGGGAGAUAGAAACCAAUAACAGCGAAGGGGAUAUUUCUGUGAAUGGUGUGCGCGGCAGGCAACUAACAGAAGAAGCAGAGAAAGGGAUUGGUGAUGUUGGACUGAAGCCCAUCCGGGAUUAUUUUCUUGUCUAAAGGAAAUCUUCUUCUAAGCUUUAGGCAUAAUGCACAAUCUGGUUUUGCGAGUUUUCAGCCUGUUUCAACUUAUUGGCUAGCUCUAGGCAUUCAAAUGCCUAACAUAACCAUGGCAUGCUCAUCUGCGUUUAUACAGCAAUUUCAACACUUAGUGCUGUCUUUGUAUAUUUAAGGUCGUUUUCAACAGCUCAUAUGGGAUUGAAGGCUUCGAAAGCCUUUGUCUCGGGUUUCAUCGAUGCUAUCUUUAAGGCCCCAAUGCUGUUCUUUGACUCAACACUGUUGGCCGGAUUUUGAUACGAGUAAGUAGUCAAAAUGCUACUUAUGAACUCUGCUAACUGAAUUUCAAUCACUUGUUAUCACGGCCAUUUGAUAACUCUACUUUUAUAGGCUUCAUCUGAUUUAACUAUUUUGGAUUUUGAUGUACCUUUCUUACUUAUCUUGCUUCCCAAGGGUUAUGCUGCUCCGGUACUUAUUAGAGCAAUACAUCUUGAAUUUCAGGGUGUUUAUAGGUGUUUAACAUGGAACAAGUUUCUGGAUGUCUGCAGGGCUUAUAGGACUUUUCCUGUCAUAUGCGUUAAUGCUAACGGGGAUACAGAUUUUUGUGACUCGGAUAAUACCAGCCCCAAUUAUUGUCCGUUCUUAUUUACGUUUCACAAUAAAACCAACUAGUUCACUAAAAUCAAUUAGUCAUAUGAAUGAACCAACUACUUAUAAAUACAUGCAAAAUUCAUUCUUUUCUCGAUUUGGUAUUCAUACUCUCAACAGUUGGACGUGUUUAUAUGUUUUCAUUUCAGUAAAAAAGAUUCUAGGACACAAUGGACAUUUUAAAAAGACAGAAAAACUCGCCUCAAAAAAAUAAAAUAAAAAAUAAAAUACAGCUGACCCAUCAAGACAAUACCAGCCACAAUUAUUUCUUUAACAAAGAGAUGUCGUACCUUAUUUGCUUGGCCAAGAGUUCGUCGUGGCCUAUUGCCUUUAGAAAGUCAACUCUAUCUAAGGUCAACUGUGUUUGAAGUCAGCUAUUCUGCUAUUCGAUCUGUUACAUGCAAACAAUUGUAUAAGAAGUAGGAAACCAAGAGCUACCAGAAAUGAAGUAGUGAUUGAAAUUGUCUGUGAUCAUGGCUUCCUCUAGAGCUCGAGAAGCCUCGUCUUCCAAUUCUUCUCCAUCUCGAAAUUGUUAUCAUGUGUUCUUGAGUUUCAGUGGCGAAGACACUCGAAAGACUUUUACUGACAAUCUCUACACGGCUUUUGUUGACAAAGGCUUUCCCACAUUCCGAGAUGAAGAAGAACUUGAGAGAGGAGAAGAUAUUAAGCCAAAAUUUGAAACAGCCAUCCAACAGUCACGGAGUUCUGUCAUCGUAUUUUCAAAAAACUACGCGUUUUCCAGAUGGUGCCUUGACGAGCUUGUCAUGAUACUUGAACGCAAGAGGAUCUCAGACCAUGUAGUUUUACCAAUCUUCUACGAUGUUGAUCCUUCAGAUGUGAGGAAGCAGACAGGAAGCGUGGAAGAAGCAUUUGCCAAACACGAAAAAAAUGGUCAACCAUCCAACAAGAUGAACCAAUGGAAGAAAGCACUUGCAGAAGUUGCAGAUCUAGCAGGGAUGGUGCGAGCAAAUCAAGCUGAUGGGUAACUUUUUUUCUAACUAGCCAUGUUCUAUAAUGAUGUUUAACGUUUGAUUAAUUACGUAGUCCUAAUUCAUGUCUUAGCAGGCCUUUUCUGAUAAUUUGAAUCUUUUGCUUUCAAAACCUCAUAAACUAUGUGCGGUAAAGUAUUUUAUCAAAACCUCAUAAACUAUGUGCGGUAAAGUAUUUUCACAUAUACUAAUCAAUAUCAGCUAAAUUCCCUAUGAAUAUGUACUAUUUUUGGUUUCCUGUGUUGUCAAUAUACUUAUCUGGUUGUAAGCAUUCAUUCGUUGUUUGAACAUUUGAUAACAUUGGCCUAUUAUUUGCAUUCAACUUUGUAAUUUAUUUUUAUGAAACAUGUGUGGCAUGUCAAGUAAUAUGAUUUAUUUUUUGUUUUAAUUCUAAUGUUUAGGUACGAGUCAAAGUUUAUCAAGAAAAUUGUUAAAGUGAUUGACGAUAAACUAAGCCGCAUACGCACACCAUUUACUGGUGCAUCCUACCUGAUUGGAAUUGAUUCACGAGUUCAAAAUAUUAAUUCAUGGUUAAAUGAUGGAUCAACCGAUGUCGGCAUAGUUUUAGUUAACGGGAUUGGGGGAAUUGGAAAGACAACCAUUGCAAAAUUUGUUUAUAAUUUAAACCAUAGAAGAUUUGAAGGAAGCUGUUUCCUUGAAGAUGUCAGGGAAACUUCAAAGAAACCGAAUGGUUUAGUGCAACUGCAAAGUAAAUUUCUUCGUGAUAUUUUGAGUGGAAGAAAAGUGAAAGUACAUAGUGUUAGCGAAGGAAUAAACAAGAUUAGAGAUGCCAUAAUCUGUAAAAGAGUUCUCCUUGUUCUCGAUGAUGUGGAUGAUAUGGACCAAAUUAGAGCAAUAUUUGGGAGACGAGAUUGGUUUUUUCCAGGAAGUAAAAUAAUCAUAACAACCAGGUAUGCACAAUUGCUAAGGGAACGUGAAUUAUCCAUCUACAACAUUUAUAACGUUCACAGUCUGAAUGUCGAUGAAUCACUGGAACUCUUUAAUUUGCAUGCUUUUGGACAGGAUCAACCAAGAGAAGGUUACAUGAAACUUUCGAAAAGGAUAGCAGACCGAAGUGGAGGACUUCCAUUAGCUCUUCAGACUUUGGGUUCUUCUCUAUAUGGUCGAGAUAUGGAUGUAUGGGAGAGUACACUGGACAAAUUAGUAGAUAUUCCACAGAAUGAAGUCUUUAAAAAGCUCAGAAUAAGUUACGAUGCUUUACAAGAUAACCACGACCAAAAUUUGUUCCUACAUAUUGCAUGUUUCUUUGUCGGAAAGGAAAAGGAUUAUAUUGUUAGAAUACUAGAUGGAUGUGAUUUCUUCACAAUUGUUGGCAUUGAAAAUCUUGUGGAUAGAUGUUUGGUAACAAUUGGUGAAGAUAAAGUGGUGAAGAUGCAUCAAAUGAUCUGUUCAAUGGGCAGAGAAAUUGUUCGCCUAGAAUCAAAGGAUCCUGAGAAACGAAGUCGAUUAUGGAGGGAUAAGGAUUCUUUUGAUGUACUGAAAUCAAAAAAUGUAAGAACCAUUCUCCUCUUAUAUGCGCGCGCGUGUGUGUGUAUGACUCUUUUUGGGAAUGCAUACAUCCUUGUUUUAUUUAUCAAACUGUUUCUUUUUUUUCCUUCUGUUUUUUAGGGUACAGAUUCCAUUGAAGGUCUUAAGUUGAACAUGCAUGUGCUCUCGGCAAGCACUCUUUCAGGAAAUUCAAAUGAGAUAGUCUUGCACACUAAUGCAUUUGCAAGGAUGAACAAACUAAGACUACUCCAGCUUAGUCAUGUACAGUUCAAGGGAUCGUAUAAAGAACUCCCGAAAGAGUUAAGAUGGUUGAGUUGGCUUGGAUUUCCUUUGAAAUCUAUUGCCAGUGAUUUUCCUUUGGAGUUCUUGGUUUAUCUUGAAAUGCAUCAGAGUAACUUGACGCAUGUCUUCAACCGGAAAACAGACUUGAGACAAGUCUUGAAAGGAAGAAAGGUAUGCUACUCCAGGCUUGUGCAUUCUUUUGUGAAAAAGGUGUUUUAUGAUUAAUUUGAUUUUACUAAGAAUUAAACUUUAGACACUUUUCGUUUUUUUCUUUUUUCCACAGCACCUUCCCUCAUUGAAGACCCUUGACCUAAGUCAUUCCCAUAGCCUAACUGAAAUCGGUAACUUCUCGUUGGUUCCAAAUUUGGAAAGACUUAUUCUUGAAGAUUGUCUGAGCUUGGUUGAUAUCCAUGAUUCGAUUGGAAAGCUAAAUAGACUGGUUUACUUGAAUUUGAAAGAUUGCAUAAAGAUUAUGAAGCUUCCAAGGAAUGUUUUUGCACUGCAAUUACUUGAUACACUUAUUGUUUCUGGUUGCUUAAAUCUGGAUGCAUUUCCAGCGGAGUUGAAGAUGAUGGAAUCUCUAAAAGUGCUAGAUGUGGCUGAUAUUUCAAUAACAACCACUGGGGAGGUCAAAUCACGCCUAAGGAGAAAUCCAGAAACUUUUUGGGCAUCUUUACCGCGUUGUUUAGCACAUUUAAAGCUCACAAGUUGCAAUCUAUCUGAUGAUUCUUUUCCCAAAGAUUUUAGUAACCUACCCUUUUUGGCGUUACUUGACCUAAGCAACAAUCUAAUUUCUGGUCUACCAGAUUGCGUCCGAGGUCUUACAGGUCUUGAUCAACUCAUCUUUUCCAAUUGCAAGAUGCUCAAAGAACUUGCAGAGCUACCAAGAGUAACAUACUUGGGUGUGUUUGAUUGCACAUUACUUGAGAAAGUAACAUUUCAAUCGAGUUCCUGCAUACCGUUUGAAUUCCUAUGCUUUUAUAACCCUAACCUAGUUGAAAUUGAAUACACGUACAAGUUUGAACCCAUUGAAAGAUUUGAUAUGGAACUCAUCCACCUUUUGGGUUUGUAUAACUUGGAUCCCACGGCAACCAUCCAAAUGAUCUUCCCAUGUAGGAGUGCGCGUCUGCCUAGGAUUUUGAAGCUGGAGGAUUGGAUAAGGGUGUAUCCCAUUCAGGUGCCUCUCUCUGUCUCUCUGUCUCUCUGUCUCUCUCUGUCUCUCUCUGUCUCUCUCUAACAAACAAACACACACACACACACAAACAUCACAUGGAAGAUAAGACUUGACUAGGAUUCUGAUUUGUGUGACAUAUGUUGUAUGUAUAGGGACUGUAUGAAUAUGGGAUAUUUAGCACGUUUCUUCCUGGGAAUGUGGUGCCAGGCCAGUUCAGCCAUAGAAGUAGAGGCUCUUCAAUAUCUUUUACCGUGCCUUCUACUUCUAAUCAAAGGGUUCGUGGCUUGAACAUCUUCUCUGUUUAUACACGUUUUGAUGGUGGUUUUCGUCCUGGUUAUCAUUGUGAUAUAAUUAGUCCAAUAAUCACUAAAGUUAGCAACAAAAGCACUGGUGUGAAGUUUAUCUAUGACCCAUCAUGCUUCGGCGAUCCAGGUCAUUCGGAAGAAGACAUGAUAUUCUUAAGCCAUUGGGAUUUGGAGAAUCAAUUGAAAGGUGGUGAUGAAUUGAAAGUUUCCAUAUUUAUGAGAGCAUGGUUUGAAUUAAAGGAGUGUGGUAUCCAGCUUGUGUAUGAGAAAGAAAAGAAGAUGAUUACCCAACAAGACACGACAACUCCUUCUUUUGCAUCUGCCAGUUUUGAGCGUUUGGAAUACGAGUUGAUGCCAAGAACAUACUUUCUCUCUCAUGGACCAGUAACAAGGAGAAUAUUGAGGUUUAGGAUGUGGAGGAAUUCGGUUUUGUUCAAUGACAUAUUUAUGGAUUCUGAUCAAGAAGCAGGUGUGUCUCACAUCUAUACUUUUACGUACUCUUGUUUUUCUCUAAAAUCGAUCACCAUUCUUAUCCAAAAUUUUGGCAUGGAUUUGCAUGGUUAACAGACAGAGAAGUACUGCAACAAGGCGAGCUGAGGCUUGCAACAACACAGCGGCAUCCCCCGCACCUGAAACACGUCAUAUUUGAAAAUAGAUAUGUACAUAAUCACUUGUUUGGCUCGGUGAGAUCAUGGUCAAUAAGCCCUCUAUGAAAUGUCUGUGUAGUUGGUUCAGUUAUCUUUGAAUUCUGUUUCAAAGUAUAUCUGAGAUGAGAGAUAUGCUUUACUCUUUAUGCUGUACAGAACAGUUUCAUAUUUUUGUCUAUUUCUGUUACAAAUUUCCGAAUGCAAAUGUGGUUUAGAUCACUCAAUUUCUUGUUGGAAAUUGCUGAUCAUAUUCAUCUCAUUGAUAAAGAUUUAGCUUCGACAUUUAACAAAAAUUGGUCUUCGAUCCUGCUUUACAAAUUUGAGACUGGUUACAGUUAGGGAUGGGCAAAAUACCCAUGGGUUUGGGUAAUCGCGGUUACCCGUCCAUUUAAAGUUAACGGUUUAGGUUAUGGACAACCGUUUAGACGAACAAACGGUUAUGGGUAUAACCGUUUAUCCGUGAAAUUUAAAUGGACGGUUAUGGGUAUUACCCACGGUUAUAACGGGUAUCCAUCGGUUAUGGGUAUUAUCCGCGGUUAUAACGGAUAUUCAUUUACCCAUUUAAUUUAAUAUAUGUAAAAUUAAAAAAAAAAUUAAAAACCUUAAAUUUUCAAUUUCUCCGCUAGAGUCUGAAAUGCCCCAUCCCCACUCAUCUCUCCCUCCUUGCUGCCUUCUCUCUCAUCUCCGCUGCCCUCUCUCUCAUCUACGCCGCUCAUCUCUCUCUCUCUCAAGAUUCUUACCUCGAAAAGUGUCUCCAUGCGUUCCCCUCCUCUCUCUCUCUCUCGGUUUCUCUUUGAUUUUAGUUUCCAUAUUUUCUUACAUUUUCUUAGAAACCAAAUAGGGCAUCAAAUUUAAAUUUUCUUUUUAACUCUUAUUCGGUGCUAGGUUUUGAUUGCUCAUUAUUUCAAGUUUCAUGAAUUGGGUUUCUCCAAGAAUUGCGAUAUUUUUAUGAAUUUUUGUGCUUUAGCAAUUGAUGAAGCUUGAAUUUCUAUAUAAUUGAUUACGUGUUAAAGAAUAAUCAUACUUUUUUUUUUGUCAAUGGAGAAAAAGGGGUCUAGAUAUGAUUUUUACAUGUUCAAUUUAUGCUGGGCAGCCUUCUAACUUUGUAUUUUAUAGGAUUAAGUAUUAUGUUUUCUAUGGUUGAUGAGCAAAAUGUCGAAAAAAGGGUCUUCGUUAUGUUGUAUAUGUUGUGAAACAAAAUGCAGUGUAACUAUGAUGUUUAGUUGUCUAUUGAGCCUUUGAAAUCUCCGAAUUUUGUAAUUUUCAAGUUGUUAUAAAAAAAACAUGCAGACGGGUGAAAAAAAGGGUAAAUGGGUAAAAAAUGAUAAACGGGUUCAAAAACGGGUAAACGGUUAUGGUUAAAUGGGUAAACGGUUAUGGUUAUGGUUAAAUGGGUACACGGUUAUGGGUAUAGUUAACCAUUUAUAAACAGUUAUGGAUAUGAGUAUAACCGUUUAUGCAAUUACCCAAUGAGUAAACCGUUAUGCGGGUAUGAACAUAAACGGUUAUGGGUAAAUAACCGCGGUUACCCGCCCGCCAUAACCAUUGCCCAUCCCUAGUUAUAGUAUCUUGCUUCUCUUAUAAAAUCAAUAUUGGAAAAUAUUAUUUGGUAGUUUCGUAUAGUUGUUUGACAAACUUUAUGGAUGCGUUUGUUGCACCGGACUAUCUCGAACUGGACUAGUUUCAAGGACUAAGCUAGAUUGGCUUGGACUAGACUAAGCAGGACUAACUUAGUGAAGCGUUUGAUUCAGUGUCGGGCUAAGAAGUAGGAUAAUAAAAAAAAAAUUAAUUCUUUUUUUUCUUUUUCUAUUUCUUUUUCCUGUUCUAGAACACCCCUGAAACCACUCUUCCCUCUCCUUUUUUAUGUCCAAACUCCAUACAUUACAAUCAUAACUUUUCCUUCAUUCCAAUUGAUAAAGUUCUCUGUCCAAAUUCCACUACUUGCAACCAUAUCUUUCUCCUCCAUUUGAAUCGAUAAAGCUCCCAAAACACAAACAAUCAAAAUUUCAAUCGAUUGCAGCCAGAGUAGGAUCUUCCUCGGAGGUUUUGCAAAAGAUGGGUCUUUUGCUGUGGCUGUGGUUGAUGAUCGAGUUGCUGCUUCUGUGGCUGUUGUGCAUGUAGUCUGAGAUAGCAAAAGACCCGUUUUUACCAUGUUCGGGUCAACCCAGAUGGUGGAAGACCCCAAAUCAACGCUGGGUUUGCGGGAUGGUGGAGAUCGGUGAGAGUUGUCUCUGCUCUGGUCAUUGGAGAAGGAGGCUGCAGCUGCUGCUCAUGUACGAAGGAGAAGGACUGGGUUCACUGCUUGCAGAUGAUGGAGAGAGGACUAGCAAUCCCGUUGUUUUGGGGGGUCUCGCUAAGACCUCAUAGUGAGGGACUUAGUCGAGGCGAGUCCUCCUUUGUCCCAUUAAACUUAAUCCUGCCUAGAACAAACAUAGGCCUACACGAAUGUCUAAUCCAGUCCAGUCUAGUGAAACCUAACGAGGCCAAACAAACGCCCCCUUAUAGGUCUACCAUGGCCCACCAUCAACAUCGUGUUGGAUUUAUCCAAUAUAAAUCAACCUUUAAGUGGUCUACUACAUGUAAUAGGAAUGUAAUAUUGGAGAAUAAUGUUAAUUGUGAUUUAAUCUCUUAAAGAUAUUAAUUCUAUAUAAGGUGUCUUAUAUUGGAAAUAGGAUUGAUGGAAUCCUUAAUAAUAUAUGAUUAUGAUAUUUUACUUGAGAGCCAAGAAAGGAGAGUUUUAGUUUUCCCUUAUGGACGGAAUCUAAGACUUUUUUGCUAGUAUAUAAACACCGGUCCCUGCUAACCCUAGACAUGACAACUAAGGCUUCCCAUAGAGCAUUGUCAUAAAGUUAGGAGUUUACAAAAGAGUUGGUGUUUCUGUUUGUCACGGCAAACAUAAAGAUUGGAGUUGUAUCGAUCACGUCUUGCUUGCAUGGCUACUGCAUCUUCGAUAACUACCAUUGGAAUCAGGUCAGUCACUCCUUCGUUUGUGUUUUAAUUGUAUAACCUUAUAAGGCUAACAAUUGGUAUCAGAGCUACUGGUUGUAUGAUUAAAACCUAUUAGGUUUGAAGUUUGGUUAUAUAAUAUCUUUCUUUUUAGACUGCGGUUUUGAUCUUAAAUCCUUAUUGCAUUCGGCAACAUCACCAUGUUGGACUUGCUUGAAAACUGCAUAGUAUGUUUCCGCAUAUGAUUGCAUAUACUUGGCAACACCACCAUGUUGUUUCAAUCGGUACAAUUGAUGAUUGUUAAUAAGUUAUAUAACCAUUCGGUUUUAGUCAAGAUUUUUAAUAAUUUUAUGGCACGAAUGCAAAUCGUGGUAUCAAUCUUUAUAUAUAAAUCAUGGUAUCAUAACUAUUUUACAAUGGAAACCAUGGGAGAUUUUCUAUUUCAAAUAUAGUUUAGAGUGAUUCCUUUUGACCAGCCAUAUUAAGCCAUCGAAAAUAGCUUGCGUUAGGGACACAUCAAGUCACAAGUAUAAAGCCACGAACCAGGCACUGAGAAGAAUAACAGUUUUGUUCUAUUUCAAUCUUCAUGCUAGUGUUUUGGUUGAAUUGAUUUACCAUGUGCCACUAAUGAUCUCAAUUUUUGUAAGCAUGCUAUAUUUGUUUUGACCUUACUGAAGAGCUCCCUCCAAUUAGCAAGCAGAACGAAGUCAUCUCCCAAAGCAAAAUGGUUUGUUUCAUUGACUUUGAUUUCUAUGAUGGUUUAUGGUAUUUUGGCUGAUAUAUAUUUGGGUUGAUCCCUGAAGGCUUAAAUUGGUAAUAAGAUAAAGAUAUAAUUGCAUGAAUGAUGUGCUAAUUAUUGUAGAGUAUGUACAUACAUUGAUUACCAUGUAUCGGUUAAGUAUGUCAUGAAUAUGGAUCCAAUUAUUAUAUAUUUUGGCAAUACGUAUCUAAAUGGGCAUAUGCUUAUUGAAUAAGAACUAAUAUUAUUUUCCAUGAAUUGUAUUCUAUAUGAAUUGCGACGGGUGAUAUGUUAAUGUGACAAGAAACAAUUGCAUAAGUGCCAGCAAUUGUUUGAUCAAGCAAGUAUACAUAAUUUUCUAAAGCCAAUUAUGUAUCUAUAGUUCGCAUAGCAUGUAUAUGUAUUUACAUUUGUUCUAACCUUGCAUUGGAGAAUUUCUUAAGAUCCCUCAGUCGAACAAGCCCAAUGAAGAGGUUCGUAUUACAUCGGUAUAUGAAAUUCUGGUAUGAUCUUUCCUUUUGGUCUUCAUGAUAAAUUAUAUAAGAAAUGGUUAUGUUGGAUUCAUGAAGUGUUAUAUUGUUCCCACAAAAUCCAACCAUGUCGUGACGUCUUACAGAUUGUAAGAGACGGAAUUAGUCAUAUUCUAUAAUUCAUCAAUACUAUUGGGAUAUGUUGUGUCUAUGAUUGUGAUAACAUGUGUUAAAGUUGUGUUGCAGGAAUGCAUAUGCUAAGUUUAUAUAUGUCUAUAUUUGAAAGUAGGACAAUAUAAAUUUUGGCAAUUUUUGUUAUUGCAUCGAUAGCAUCAUGGAUAUGUUUCAAAGAUGUGUAAGGUGACAAAAUUUCUUCCAUGACCGUGGAAUAUGAUAAAUUGUAACUAAUUUGCUUGAACCAAAUUUUUAAUAUUGUUAAGCAAAUGGCAUGUAUAGUGUUGCUUGUAUGGCUAAUUUGGUUCAAGCAUGAGAUAACAUAUUUUUAAUGUUGCCGUGGGUUUUGGACUAUAGUGAAUUGUAGUGUUGUUUCCACUAAUUUUCACGAGAUGUGAAUGAACUUUUAUGCCAUUAAUAUCACACGAAAUGUGCGUGACUAAUCAAUCAGGUUUGUCUACAAUUUUACUUUCUUAUCUUAGUAUAGUCAUUUAAAUUAUACAUGACUAGUUAACUGUUGAAAUUGAUGCAUAACUUGUGGAUUGACUGAGAGUAACAGAAAGCAUCCAGUGAUAAGAACAAGUACAUAUGAGGUUUGUAGUAAUUAUGUGACAAUUCUCAUUUGUAUUUUAUCUAUUUAUUUGAGAAUUUUGGUUGAUCAUGUGAUUAUAUAUAUGUUUACAAAGAAGUGGUGAACAUAUGAAGGCAUGAGGUAUGUAAUCCAUUCAAAGUAUGUGGCUUAAUUGAUAAGCAUGAAUUUUCAAACAUGUAUUAUUGUUUGUGGUUUUUCCUAUGCCUAAAGAAUUUAAACAGUACUUUGAUUAGUAAUUUUUAUGUGUCAUAAGGGGAGAAGAAAAGAAAUUUAUACAAGGCUAAUGUAUGGCAUGUAUUGGAGAUGUUUCUUUUGAAAGAACAGAAUUUUGGUAGUUCCUUUAUUUAAUUUGGUAUUUACAAGGCUAAUGCACGAUUUUGAUGCUAAUGUUUUACGAGUCUUGUGCUAUAGAAAGAAACAUAUAAAAGGAAAGUAACUCGUUUGACUUAAGAAAACAUUUGAACGAUUUAGCUUUUAAAUUAAAGGAAUGUAUGUUCUCUCACAUUACAUAAAGUAUUUCUAAUUGACUCCGUAAUGAUAAGUAUUGACAUUCUUGUGGUGAAAACUUAUUCUAUAUGUGAUUAAUCUCCUUCAAGUAUGCUGUCAGGUUUUUGAGAUUAAUUUAAUGUCAAAGGGAGUCAUGAAGGAAUUAGUGCUAUUUGUUGGCAAGACUCGACGCUCGAAUCAGGUUAUCAUAAUUUUGUCACCUACAGUUAAUUAAUCCAUGUGACUUUUUGUAUUGUUUCAGGGCGAAGUUGAUAACUGUCUUUUCAACUAAAGCAAGCCGCAACGGCUUAGUUGAUGAUGAGAUUGUGGUUUUGAGUUACUUCGGUCAACUUUGCAUCUUAAUUAGAAUAAAAGGGAUAAUCUUCUUGCCUACAGGUGUGGAUUACUUCUUUUAGUUUAAUUAAGAUGGCAUAGUAUGGGUUUUAUUUCACAGAAGUUGUGAAAACCUUCAUCUUGCCUACAGGUGUUGAAGUUUUUCAUGAAGGAACUUUUGUGACAUAAAAUCUAGUACUAGAAACUAGUUAAUUUUCUUGCCUACAGGUGAAAAUUAAUUUAUUUUCAUGAAGUUUAUUGGGAUAAAGUUCCAUGCCAUUAGUGACAAAUAUUUCUACAAUGAGCCCCAUAAAAGGUUGUGGUUUGAAGGCAUGGAAAUCGGUUGCAUCAUGAUGAAUUUUGUAUUUCUUCAUGAGACUUGUUGAUACAAAAUAUUGGACCCAUGAAUGUUAAUUAAGGAUUGCUAAGGUACGCAUUGUUUAGGUCUUAUGCUUGUAAAUCUUUUCAAUUUGAAUUAUGAUGUCGGUUUAGAGGAUGAAAUUUGACUACUAAAGUUUCCUUUGGACAUCGAAAUUGAAAUGAUAUGAAAUUGAAUUUGUUAUGGAUGCAUAAAUUCAUGAUAGAAGCACAUAAUUGUUUCUGGCAGAUUAUGUGUCUUGAUUUAAAUCAGGUGAAUGACAUGUCUAAUGUCACCAAAUGACCUGAAUUUUGGAUAUGUUUAACAUAUAGAUGUCUAAUAUGUGUCUGCAAAGUUUCGUAAUUUUCUACCAUGUUUGUUAAUUAUGGUGAAUUUACUAGUAACCCAUGCUCGUAUAGACAGUUUUUACUGGCAGAUUGUGAUAUUUUUUGAGACGUGACUUUAGACUACUAUUUUGACCCAAAAUGGCUCUGUAUUUCUAUUUUAUGAAGAUUAGUAUGUCUAUUUGGAUCAGUAUAAAUUUGGUAGCAAUCAAGCUUGUAAAUUAAUUAUGAUAAAUUCUAAAGUAAGUGUAACUCAUUGCUGAAAUUUUGUUUGACAACUUUAUGUUGGUUGUGAUGUCUAUUUUAUUAUGUCUAAUAUAUAAAGACAUUUUCUUUAGGUACAUCUUUGAAAGAAUAUAUUAACGAGUGUUUGCCCAAGUGGGAGAAUUAGUGAACGAAAAUUGGGCUUCACACUCAUUAACUUAUUUGCAAGUAUAAAUUCUGAUAACUUAGUGGGAGUUGUUCUAAAAUUUUGAGCACUAAGUGGACUUGCAUGAAUCUAUUAAAGCAUUAUUCUAUCUUCCAUGAAUUUGUGUUACUUGAAUGUCUAUAAUAUGUUUAAGUUGCACAAAUGGAUACUUGGGAUAUGCGUACAUUUUCUAUUACUUGCAAUCAUUUAGAUUUCUCGAUUGAUCAUAUUGUUUUGGGGCUCAUAAGGACUUAGCAUAAAUGUGGACUUAUUAAUACAUAUAAGAUGGUUGUUGGAUGCACGUUUUUUGUGUAAACAGAAGUGAAUGCUUUCAUGCUUAGUUGUACCUUUUAUUGAGGUAAUAUGCAUUCAUUGACUAAGUAAGGCUAUUCCCAAAGGCAGUAUGAUUUAAGUGACUUUUGAUUUGCAAAUUAAGUAACGAUGUUGCAGAUCAGUGGGAGUUUGAGUUUCGUGUUAGUAAUGCCUUACAUUUGCAGAUGACCUAUAAAGUAUGUAUAGAAUCCAUGUAUUCAUAUUAAUCUCCAGUUGAAUUCAUUAAGUCACAUUUUUUGUGUGCUAGUCAAUCAUCUGAUGAAAUAUAUAUCAGAUUUCAAGUUGUUAUCAAAUUGCAUAUUAAAUGUCAUGGCAUGGUUUGUGCACUACCUCAGUUGUGAGGAUUUCCAUCUUGCCCGCAGGUGUUGGAAAUCAUUAUGAAAGUAACUGGUAUGGUGCAUAGAUCAGUGUCAAAAACAUAUUAAUUCAUUUUGCUCACAAGUGUUGAAUUAAUUUGUUUUAUGAUGUUUUUGGGAUAUUUUACUUGGACAUGUGCCUAUUUGGUAUUUUCAGUUAUGUCCGUUGGUUACAAACAUUGUUUGUAUUGUUACUGAUCUAAUAAAGGUGAUGCAUGAUUGUUUUGGAGAUGUAUUCACACCUAUAGGUUAUGGUGGUUUCAUUAGAUGAAGGAUAUCUGCAUUGACAGAUUUAAGGCUUCGAAGAAGCAUAAAGUGUAACUUGUGAGUUACAAUAAGGUGGACCUGAGAUGAUAUAAAGUAAGACAUUUUGAUUAAUUUAAAGUUUAGUUUAAAGUUUCAUCUCUUGAUCAUAAUUUGUGUUUCAUGUGAAUGAGGAUCUUAGCAUGUGUGAUUAUGAAGGUUCUGGGUUGUGUCAAUCCUACAACCUUGUUAGUUCCAUGUUAAGAAAUGCAUUUGACAGAAGCUGCAUUAAGGACGAGAUGUAAUCACAGUUACAUGGCCACUAAAGUAACAUUAAUCUCCAAUCUCAAGUAUAAACAUGAAUAUUACAUUUUGUAGACCAAGUGGGAGAAUGUUGGAUUUAUCCAAUAUAAAUCAACCUUUAAGUGGUCUACUACAUGUAAUAGGAAUGUAAUAUUGGAGAAUAAUAUUAAUUGUGAUUUAAUCUCUUAAAGAUAUUAAUUCUAUAUAAGGUGUCUUAUAUUGGAAAUAUAAUUGAUGGAAUCCUUAAUAAUAUAUGAUUAUGAUAUUUUACUUGAGAGCCAAGAAAUGAGAGUUUUAGUUUUCCCUUAUGGACGGAAUCUAAGACUUUUUGGCUAGUAUAUAAACACCGGUCCCUGCUAACCCUAGACAUGACAACUAAGGCUUCCCAUAGAGCAUUGUCAUAAAGUUAGGAGUUUACAGAAGAGUUGGUGUUUCUGUUUGUCACGGCAAACAUAAAGAUUGGAGUUGUAUCGAUCACGUCUUGCUUGCAUGGCUGCUGCAUCUUCAAUAACUACCAUUGGAAUCAGGUCAGUCACUCCUUCGUUUGUGUUUUAAUUGUAUAACCUUAUAAGGCUAACACAUCGUUGAUAUUAUUCCCACUUUACCACUUAUUGUUAGGUGUGCAGUUUUAUCAUAAAAGGCCUCAGUAAAUGUUAGAGAUGGAUUUUCUCAUAUAUUAAUUGUAUAUUAUUUUUUCAUAUGUUUGAGGUAGGAUUCUAUUCUCCGGAAAGGGAUCCUCUGGAUCCCUUCCACCAAAUCCUCUCCAUCAACUAAUCCAAAUCCUUGAAAUUGAUCCAACGACUACAAAUAACGGAUCAAAUUUCAAAGACUUGGAUUGUUUGAUAGGAAAUAUUUGGUGGAAGGGAUUUGGACCAGAUCCCUAUUCUCCAACAUUGUGUCUAUAAAAGAAGGCAAGACCAUGAGACAGAAAGAAGGGAUACCUCGACCUCGAGGAUGUAAUGUUGUCGUCUUCCUCACUCGCAACUUUUCGUACAAGCUAUGGGGAGCUUACCGUCUAUUGGAGGAGGCUCUUGCUUGGUUGUAUCCCUUGCUUAAUUGUCUAAUGAAAUAUGCAUUUUGAUUGAAAAAAGAAAGUGCAUAAUCUCUUAAGAGUCUAAACUCGUAUCUAGAUGACCGCCCAUUUGAACAAAACCACGGCCGAAAUGUUAUGAACUUCCCUUUUUCUGCAUGUCCUUUCUCUUCCGGUAUUUGGGUUCUAUCGAACUCCGCUAAAUUAUUUGCAGCACAGCUUUUAUCCUGUUUCUCUUGGGUGUUUGAUAUGGAGAACUUUAAAUUGAUAGUGUCAAAUUUCUUUCUCUGAUCCUUGGCAACAACAGUGAGGUGUGUGCAUUGCUUGAACAAGACAUUGAUCAUGACUUGCUGUUAAUUUAAUUCAAUUGCAGUUGAAUGAUUAACAAAAAUAAAGGGGCGGCUAGACUAUCCUAAUUUUAUUUAUUUGCUUGACCAAGAUAUUUCAUUACCUGCUUUUUUACAUGAUAACUGUUUUAUAUCCCAAGAUUUAGCCUUAAUUUUCAGACUCUUGAGACACUAGCAAUGAAAAAGUGAUUUCAUAUUUUUCUGCUAUCAUGGCUUUUUCAAGAGCUCAAGCAGCCUUCCCCUCCAAUUCUUCUUCCUCUCUAGAUAAUCAUGAAGAAAAUCACAACAUCAGUAACGUAUAAGGCUAAUAUAAACAAUUAGGAAGAAAGUUAGAAAUAUUAAUAAACUUGGAGAUUGAGGUUUGCAUAAAUAUUAUGUCCUAAAGACAUAAUUUUGCCUCUAUCCUUGUGCUUGAAGUUCGGUAGACAUCUGUCUCCCAGAAUUCAAAAAUCUAUAAUCCAAAGUCAAAACACUCAAAUAUUUGGACUCUGGCGAACUUUAUAUAUUUCAUACUCUCAGGAUACGACUCAGAAUUUGACUGACAAUGAAUAAAAGACAUUGGAGAAAACUCUACUCUUGAUUUUUAGACAUGUCGAAUGCUUGAGUUUAUAUAGAAUUCAAGUCACCCAUUUUGAAACAUUGUGAUUGUUGCUUAAAGUUCUAACGAAUAGAUGCAAAUCAUAAAUUUAAAUUCAACUAUAACCUUACUCUUAUUUUUCAUUCAUUCAAAAAUUAAAUAUAAUAAAUUAAUAUUAUAAUAUAUAAUUUCUAACCAUCACUUGGAAUUUGACAAAUGAAGAGAGAAAUAGUGUAACAUCCUACAUUGCCUAGGGGAGUGGAUCAUGUAAGCCUUAUAUGUAUAUUCUCAUCUCUACCUAGCACGAGGCUUUUUGGGAGCUCACUGGCUUCGGAUUCCAUCGGAACUCCGAAGUUAAGUGAGUUCGCGCGAGAGCAAUCCCAUGAUGGGUGACCCACUGAGAAGUUCUCGUGUGAGUUCCCAGAAACAAAACCGUGAGGGCAUGGUUGGGGCCCAAAGCAGACAAUAUUGUGUUAUAGCGGAGUCGAGCCCGGGAUGUGGUGGGGUCCCGGGCCGAGAUGUGACAAAUAGGAUUUCCCCACUCUAUUUCUCAAGAAUAAGAGUUGACUCACUAAUUCAUUAUUUAGUUAUCUUUCUACGAUCGGAGUGCUUGAGUUUAUAUAAAACUCAAUACACCUUGUGAGAACUUAUAUGUCUAUUGGCUUUAACCAUAUGAUACCUUUGAAUACGCACCACAAGAAAAUAUGGUAAUUGCAACACCUUCAUCACUAAUUGCUAAUAUUGUUGGAGGAUUUUUUGUAAUUGGAGCUAGUCAAAGAAGUAUGUUAGCUUGGUUUUGUUUAUUUAUUCUUUAAUGGCAUUGGUGACUCAAUUAGCAAGAGAAGCAGAAAUUUGGGGGUGGAUUAAUUGGAGAAGGACGAGGAAGAAAGCAUUGAUGAAUGCAGAGACAAUGGCGGUACUUUUGUGAAGAAGCACGGAGUGGUCAGAAAAAAGGUGAGAUUUGUAGAGGAAAAGGGAAGAACUGUUUGGAAAGGAAUGGUGAAUGAUGAGUCGAAAUCAGAGUAAGACGAAGGAGAAAAUGGAAGUGUGCCUCUAAGGCCAUCUCCAACCGAAGGGUUCAGAGGGUCAGAGGGCCGAAAAUAGUCCGAAAACCGUAUCCAACCGAGGGUUAGGCCAGGGGCUGUGGAAUUUGAGAGGUCCCCACGGAAUCGGAGAGGACUGGAGGGCUGGAGCGCUGGCCAAAAAACCGUUUAAUCCUGUCGGUUAUAAUCGACAGGAAUACAUUUAUAUUAUUUAAUAUAAAUGUAUUAUAUGUAUUCCUGUCGGUUACAGACAGGAAUUCUUAAAAAGAAUUUUGAAUCCAACGGCUAGCUGGUGCUAGUUACCGUUGGAUUCAAUAUUUUUUUUUUUUUUUUUUUUAGGUUUUUUGGGCCUUUUUUUUUUUAAUUCUCAAAAAUUCUAUUUUUUUCCCUAUCAACACCUAAACCAUUCAUUCACCAUUCCUCACAAAAUUUUUAAAUUUAAGUUAAUGUUGUUUUCAAAUUUAAUUUGUAGUUUUUAAAUUUAAUUUGUCAUUUUUAAAUUUUAGUUAUAGUUUUUAAAUAUAAGUUGUAGUUUUUAAAUUUAAGUUGUUGUUGUUUUUAAAUUUAAGUUGUUGUAGUUUUUAAAUAAUAAAUUAUGUUUGGCCUUAUGGCCCUUUGGCCCUCGGUUGGAGACGAUUUUUUGUGACAGGGUUAAACGAGCCACCGGCUCUCAGUUGGAGACGGAGGCAAAUAUGGAUAUGUACUGUUCAUUAAAAUAUUGAUAUCUUGGAGGGCCAGAGGACUAAAACGAGCUCUCUGACAAACCAUCGGUUGGAGAUGGCUUAAGAAAAGUGAGAAUGGGGUGUAGUUUAAAGGUAGAAGAUGAAGUGGGGCAUUCUGAUCAGAGCCGGCGUUGGGGGAGUGCGACCGAUUCCAUGGCACAGGGCCCCAAAAUUUUGGGGGCCCUGAAAAAUAUUUUUUAUUGAAUAUAAUAAUAUAUAUACAAUAAUAUUAUAUAGAAAUAAUAUAUAGAAAUACUAAUCAAAUCAAAAUAUAUACAUAUAAAAAUCUGAUGGGCCAAAAACCAUCAGACUACCACCUAAAAGCCAUCAGACUACUAGUAGUACUACCUACAACCUGUACAAAAAUAUAUAAAAUAAUAAUUAACAAGGGGCAAAUUAAUCAAUUAAAGGGAAAACCCAUUCAUCGAGACAAAUAAUUCAGAUAGACUACUUCUUUCAUGCCAAAAUCCCAUCACUCUGUUCUAUUUUUCUUCUUUUCACACCAGACUACCGUCACUACCGAGGCAAACAAUUCAGCGCAGAGCACCAGAACGUGUGCCAGUGUGAGUGUCCCAGACUCCCAUUGUAAUUCCCUUCUCUCUUCGUAUAUCUCCCACAAAUUAUUAAACCCUAAUUAUAAAUUUAUGAAAUUAAAGAGAAACUUCCAAAUCAUGAUGACAUGUAGACUUCGAUCAAAAUAAGAUAUUUACCAAUUUAAGUAUAUUGACUCGAAAUUUAAAGAUUGGGGUAUUUCUCAUCUAUAAUGAUUUUUUUUUGGUACUUUUCUAGACAAAAUCAAGAGAAGAGCAGUAAAAAAAAAAUCGCUAGACGCACACGUAUUACGGCUAUCAGGUUUCAUUGUUCAUACUUACUAUAAUUUUAUUGUGAUCUUGUUUGAGAUAUAAAAGAUGACACCUACUAGAAAAUAUCCAUCUGGCUACUUAAAGCGUCAAAGAAAAAGAAAAGUUGAACAAUUGAUUCAGUCUCAAAAAUGAGUUAUUGAUAGGUUCUUUCUGAAAGAAAAAGAACCACAAAGUUCAGUGGAUGAUUUAAUUACGGAACAACAGGAUGACAAUGAGAAAUUAGUGGAUGAUUUGGGCAAUGAUGAAAUUGAUGAUGACCUAGAUGAGAAUGAUAAUCAUGAGGAUGCUCCUAUUGUCACUGAUCAACUGAGUGAGUCCAUUCCCUCAAACAUUUAUGAUCCUCAAAUUUGGGAUAGUCUUGAUCCCAAAUGGAUUGAUUUGUUGGCAGAAAAAGGUCCUGCAAGAGAUCUAUCAAUUGAGAAAGGUCCUAAAGAUUAGUUUAAUAGGCGUUUUAAUGCAGCCUUUUACACUCGAUACUUAUCCAAUGGAGAGAAACAUAAUAGAGAUUGGCUAGUCUAUUCAAAGCAUGUUGAUAAAUUGUUCUGCUUUUGUUGUAAAUUGUUCAAGAAAGGGUCUCUCAAAGGUCAAUUAGCAAAUGAGGGCUACAAAGAUUGGACACAUCUCAAUGUGAGGCUUAAAGAGCAUGAAAACAGUUUUGAUCACAUCUCGAACAUGACCACUUGGAUUGAUUUGCGUCUUAGAUUGCAGAAAAACAAAACAAUUGACAAAGUUGUGCAAUACCAGAUCAAGAAAGAAAAUGAGCAUUGGAGGGAGUUAUUACGAAUGUUGAUUUCCAUUGUGAAAUAUUUAGCUAAACACACACUGACUUUUCGUGGAAAUAAUGAUAUGCUUUAUGAAGAAAGUAAUGGAAAUUUUAUGGGUCUAGUUCAAAUGAUGGCAGAGUCUGAUCCAUUGAUAAAGAAUCAUCUUCAACGCUUCUAAAAUAAAGAGAUUCGUUAUCAUUAUCUUAGUUAUACCAUCCAGAAUGAGUUGAUAUUGUUGAUAUUGUUGAUAUUGUUGAUAUCUUGUGAAAUCAAAGAUGCAAUCAUUCAAAAAGUCAAAGAAGCUAAAUAUUUUACCGUGAUACUUGAUUGUACUCCUGAUUUUGGCCACCAAGAACAGAUGACCUUGAUCAUAAGAUGUGUGGAUAUGAACAGUACUCCAGUAAAAGUAGAAGAAUAUUUUUUGCAAUAUCUAAUUGUGAAUAACACAUCAGGAGAAUGAUUGUUUGAAGAGUUGCAGAAUGCAUUAAAAGUUCUUGAUCUUGAUACUGAUGAUGUAAGAGGGCAAGGUUAUGAUAAUGGAUCAAAUAUGAGAGGGAGACAUCAAGGUGUACGAAAGAGGCUUUUGGAUAUAAAUCUUAGGGCAAUGUACACUCCAUGUGGUUGCCAUAGUCUUAACUUACGCUUUGUGAUAUGGCAAAUUCUUGUGGCAAAGCAAAAGACUUUUUUGGAACAGUACAACGUAUUUACAGCUUGUUCGCAAAUUCUACAAAACGAUGGCUGAUUUUGAAAGAAAAUAUAAAAGGACUAACUCUCAAAUCAUUGUCGGCCACACGAUGGGAAAGUCGUGUUGCGAGUGUUAAAGCAAUUCAAUCCCAACCUCUACAAAUAAAAAAAGUUUUACUCCAAUUAGCAGAAAGUGACAAUGACUUAGUAACAAGAAGUGCAGCUAAAUCUUUGACAACAUACGACAUUGGGAAUUUUGAGUUUUGAUUGGGCAUGACUAUUUGGUAUGAAAUAUUGGCUGCUGUUAAUGAGGUUAGCAAAGAUUUGCAAUCUAAAGACAUGCUUAUUGAUGUUGCUAUAGAACAAGUACAAGGAUUGACCGCUUAUUUUGAAAAGUAUAGAGAAACUGGGUUUGCGGAGGUUAUGAUUAAUGCUAAAAAACUUGCUAUUGAAAUGGAAAUUGAUCCUGUGUUUCCAGAAAAGUGUCAAGUUCAUAGAAAAAGACAUUUUGAUGAAAAUGAAGGUGAAUCAUCCUAACCAACUAAACAAUCAGCGGAGGAAUCUUUUAGGGUUCAUUACUUCUUGUAUAUAAUAGAUCAAGCUAUUGGUUCAUUGAAGAGAAGGUUGGUUUGAAGAAUAUCAAGCGUAUGAUGAUAUAUUUGGGUUUUUGUUCACUUCAGAACGGCUGAAUUCGAUAGACAAUGAUAAAUUAAAAGAUUGUUGUGAUCGGCUUCAAACUUUCUCAAGAAAGAUGAGCUCUUUGAUGUUGAUGGGGAUGCAUUAUUAGUAGAGUUGAAGCUUUUACAAGAGCGUUUGCCAAAAGAAAUAAAGACAUCCAUUGACAAAUUGAACUACUUGAAGAUGAUGUGUUGUUUCCCGACUGCAAGCAUUGCAUACAAAAUUUUGUUGACUAUACCUGUUACCGUUGCAUCUGCAAAAAGGAGUUUCUCAAAGUUAAAGUUAUUAAAAUCAUACUUGCGGUAAACCAUGUUGCGGUAAAGGUUAAAUGGACUAGCUUUGAUAUCGAUUGAAAGUAAUUUUUUAAACAAAAUUGAUUAUGAAGGUUUAAUUGAUGAUUUUGCAGCAAAGAAUGCAUGAAGAGCCAUCUUUAAGUGAAGCUUCAGUGCUAGACUUUUUUAAGUUUUGUUUAUUUGGUUUCUUUAGAUUGAACUUAUUGUUAGUUAUUAGUACUAUGGUUAUUUUGUAGCUUUCCUUACAUUUAAUAAUAUUUAGAAACAGAUGGUUAGUUAGUUUUAAAGUUUAUUUCGAUAUUGUUUUUUAACAUCAAUACAUUGUUCAUUUUUUUUGUUUUUAAGAUGUCUUAUAAGAAGGGCCCCUUUUAUGAAUUUUGCACAGGACCUCCGAAAUAUCAGAGACAGUCCUGAUUCUGAUGACAUCGAUACAGAGAAAGGUUUGUGAAGAAGCAAGAGGGUAGGUUAUUUUCUUGGGGGCAUAAAGGAUCAUAUGAAACAGGAAGAAAGAAAAGUAAAUAAGCAGUCUAAGAAAGUAAUUUGUAAAUUUUAUGUUUAUGUCAUUUGUUGUCAAUGUUGUGAUUUAUAAUGUAAUUGAUUUGGUAUGCAUACAGAACUGGUAUUCUAUGUUUAUGUUGUCAUUUAUUGUGACUGUUGUGUAAAAAUCUAUGUUUAUGUCAUUAGUUAACAAAAUUGCUCAAGUUCACCGCAAAGAUUGUAAGAAGAAACGAUUAUGUAUUCCUUGCAUACAUAAAUGCCAUGCAUUAAUUUGCUCUGUAUCUUUUAAUAUUUCUGAUUAAUAACUUACUAAGAUAUUGGGUUAAUUGAGUUCGUUUUGUUAGAAUGGCCACCACCUUUUGAAGUGAGUUGUCUCAGUAGAAUCCAGUAAAUGAUGUUUGAUUUGGUCUGGAUAUGGUUUAAAUAUUUCAAUAGUGUUGUGAUAUCAUCCACAUUCAACCAUCAUGUAUUUGUAGUGAACUUCUUCUGCUGAUUCAUGUAUGUUAGACCAUUAAUUCUAUUAUUACAUUAAGAGUUAAUCCGCUAUUUAUCUUUAAGAAAUGUAGCUACUUUCGUGUUGUUUUGCUGUAAUAACUUGGUCUGUAUAAAAGGCUGAUCUAUGUUAUAAAUUGGUGUCCUACUUUUCCCCUCCAUCUUUGUUUCUUGUGUUUUUUCCCCUUAUUUUGUUCCUCUUUCCCUAGAAAUUGGCUUGGUUGGGUAAAAGCUACUGCUAAGGUCAAGUGAAAUCAUAUGUUACUGGGAUGAGUUGCAUCAAAAUUCCACUAUAACAGGUAAUACAUAAAAUUUCUAGGUUGAGUUCCAUUUCUUGAUAUGACAUCCGGUUAUAAGCUCAGUUAUAGUUGUAUCAGUGGUACUGAAAUUGUUCUUAUGAAAGUAAUUAUACAAAUGCUGGCGUUGUGCCGUUUGUUAUAGUUGUAUCAGUGGUCUGCAAGUUACUUUUGUUCCCUUGUCAUUAUUGAUAUCAUUUUUGUGGUAGUAAAUUAUUGUCAACUACAGAGACUAGAAGUUGAAGAGGAGAGGCAUAAAGUUUGGAAGGAAAAACACUCAAGGGGAUCUCUUGCUAGGUUCGACAGAGAAGCAUCAAGGGGAUCUCUUGCUAGGUUCGACAGAGAAGCACUGGUCUGAUAUAGUAUUAUAGACUAUAUAAAUGUCUAAUCAUGUAUAUAUGUUUAAUUACUCCAAAUGAACAUUACAAUCUCAAGGAUUCCAAAUAAGUGUUUUUCAUUUUGUAAAUUACAUUGAUUUGAAUUUCAAUUUAGUUUGGAACCUAUAGUACAAUUUCACAUGAAUUAUUUUUUUGUCGAAGCUAUUAAAAAUAAUGUCAUUGGCGUCCAAUUUGAAGCCUAAUAUUUUUUUAAACCUGGUGGCAAUUAUUUGUGACGCGUUACUUGCGCAAGCCGUAGUAAAUAGUAUUUACGACGUGCUCAUAGCAUCUCAUAUAAUCGACCAACAUUUACGACACAUAGUUAUUGCGACGUGUUACAUGCCGUCGCAAGGCCGUUGUCAAAGGUCUAUACAUAGCUUUUUACAGAUUUUAAAGGCGCUUUUUAUUAAAAGGACGUGUGUACACGUAUAAGUUUUCAAUGAAGGUUACGUAUAAGUCGCAACUUUUGUAAAGUUUUUUGCCACCGUUUUCUUGACAAAAUACUGGCACAAUAAGUGCAAAGUGCCACCGCUUGACAAAAACUGGCACCUAUUCAAAGCAACCAAAUAUAUAUAGUUUUCACUAAUUGACAUCUAAUAACAACAACAAUUUUUCAUUCAAUAUUAGAAAUUAUAAUAUCAUAUAAUAAUUUUUUCAUUUUUUCUAAUAUUACUCUAAUAUAGUUGUGGAGGAAUUUGAUUGUGUUGGACGACAUAUUUAAGGACUCUGAUCAAGACACAGGUAUGUCUCUCAGUUAUACAUUUUAACUCCGCCCCCCCCCCUUAAAAAUAAAAACAAGCCUACUUUUGUUGUGCGUGUGUUUAUGUUGGGUUUUGAUAUAAAACACUUCAAAUCAAACAACAUUCGUAUCCAAAGUUUAGUUCUCAUCUAAUGACACUAUUAAUUUUUGGCAUCCAUUAGCAUUUUCAGCGGGCCCCAAAGAAGAGCUGCAACAAGGUGGACCCAGACGCUUGCAACGAGGAGCAACGAUUCUCACUAUUCCAAUCUUGCGUUGGGUGCCCUCAUUGACAAUACAUUUUUAUUCAAUAAACUUUUCGUCACAAGUUCUUGGGUUUGCAAAAAGGAUUAUCCUGGAGGUAUCCCUUAGUUAUCUAUCUUGAAGCCUUACCUUUUAGAUGAUCUUGGUGUAUCCUUGAUUCUUUUUUUUUUUUUUUUUUUUUUGACAAACAAUAGCGUUAGUGGGUUAGAUGGUUAAAUGUUAAGGAAAUUUGUGAGAAUCGAACCCGCAUUAAGUGCAUAGGCAAAAUUCAUUUUUGUCACUGUGGUAAAGGUUCACCUCAAUGUUAUUGAACCCUAAAUUUAUUGUAAUUCCCUAUUUAAUCUUUGUUUCGCAUUUACAUUUUGUAUAAAUAGAAAGUAUAUAUGUGAUUAAUUGGGAGAAUAAAUACAGAGAUUGUAAUUCCUCCCGUUUCCGUUCUGAAAUCAAUUAUGGAGUAAACUUUUGGGUUUUUGAUAUAGCCCCUCGUUUUUAAGCUUCUUAUACUAAACAUUUGUUUUAACAAUUUGAUUAAAUAUUUUUUUACAAAUUUGGUGUUGUGUAUUUUAAUUAACCCAUUUUAAUGUACCUAUAUUACAUGACCUGCUAGCAUUUAACAAAACAGAUUUUGGUUAGGUGUGUGGUUUUGAUCAUCUUUUGAAGUCGAAGGUUUUUAUUUUUUGUGCGUUGGCUCUGAUUGGUACGUUUUGAUAAGUGGAUGACUAAUACUAUGUAUUUGCAAGUGAUGAGCAUUUUGUACAAUGAGUUGAUAAGUUAUAUAAGUACUUGAGGUCUGCAAAUUUGGAACAUACCAGGAGUUUAGUACAUUAAUUAAUGUUAUGUUGACACAUAAUGAUCGUUUGGUUCAUGAAAUAAUAUUAAUUUAGGUUUUUUUAUUAACAUCCCACAAAAUGUUGAAUGCACCCCAUAUUAAAAUUUAAUGUUAAAUGACUUAUGUACCCUAUUAUGCAAUGACAAUUUCGACCUUAUUAGGUUUUAAAAAAAAAUUCUUAACACACCCCAUAUCACUUUUAACCUAUUAUUUAUCUUUUUCAACUAUCAAAACCUCUCACUCUCCAUUGUUAAACAAAAUCUUAACCAAGCUAUCUGCGUUAUUUUAUUCUUUGAUUUUGAUUUCAAAGGAGAUUAGUCCCACAUAUCUACUUGUGAUUUCCCAUGAAACUAUACUACCCAAGCCUAUUAUUGAUUGAUUUAAGCUUAAUAUUUAUUUACAAUUCCCAGAAGGCUUCUCUCUUAGGAAGUUCCCACUAUUUUCAAUGGUGAAUUACUACAACAUAACUCAUUCCAUUCAAUGGUUAAUUAUUGACACACCCCGACCGAGGUCAAGGCAUGAUGGCCGUCACGUGAGAGUGAUGUAACCAUGUGCACUCUAGUAAUGUGGUUUUUAUUUAUUUGUUUAUUUGCUAUCUGUAUCUUGUAACAUCUCACAUCGCCUAGGGGAGUGAUCCUUAAAUGUAUAUUCUCAUCCCUACCUAGCACGAGGCCUUUUGGGAGCUCACUAGCUUCGGGUUCCGUAGGAACUCCGAAGUUAAGCGAGAAAGAGGUUAGAGCACUCCCAGGAUGGGUGACCCACUGGGAAUUUGCUCGUGAGUUCCCAAAAACAAAACCGUGAGAAAAUGGUAAGCCCAAAGCGGACAAUAUCGUACUACGGUGGUGGAGCGGGCCCGAGAUAUGGUGGACCCGGGACGGGAUGUGACAAUUACUGCAAUAUAACUCAUUUCGUUCAAUUGAUGCCUCUCAAGUGACUCUUUCUUCUCUCCACAUCAAUCACACAGGAUGUUAGAGUUUUACUCCAAAGUCAAUUUAAUUUAUAAAAAUUAAAAAUGAGUAUUAUAAGAUUUGAAGAAUGUGGGGUGUGUAGAAAAUGUAAGGUGUAUGUUAGGAAUGUGGGGUGUGAGUAUUUUGGAAAAGUAUGUGAGGUGUUAAUAUAAUAAGCCUUUAUUUAAAACGUGCCAAAAGUUUGGUACGUAAAUUUUUUAUUUUUGAAAAGUACCCGACUGACGAAAUGUUAUAGUGUGCGUUUGAAACGUGCCAAUUAUUUGGUAUGUCUUUUUAUGUUAUUUCGAGUAAUGGUAUUUGGUAUUAAACUACCAACUAACUGGUACGUUAAUUUAGAAACGGCUAAUGAAACGUUUGGUAUUAAACCAUCAAAUGAUCGUAUGGUUCAUGAAAUAAUAUUAAUUUAUAAUGUAUAAAAUGUUUGGUAUGUAAUGGUUAUAUUAUUCGUACGUACCUGACUGAUGAAAUCUAUAUAUAUAUAAAGGGAGAAGGUAAAAGAGGUGCAGCCUUCAUAAUACCCAAAUUACCCUUCUCCCUUUAGGAUUUAAAAAAAAAUUCAGAACAAAAAAAAACUCACAAAGUGGGAAUGUGAGUAGUUACGUUCAUAAUUUUUUAAAAUAUAUUUUAAUAAAAAAUAAUAAUAUCUAAAAUUAAAAAAAAUAAAGUAAAACAAUUAAAAGAGCCAAUUGUCACAUGUGUAUGCGUGUGGUAAGAAGCUAUGUGAGUUGAACCUGUUUUAUUCAGUAGGUCUUUUAUUAUUAUAUUAAUUUAGAAAGUAGAAAUCAUUUGGUACAUAAUAUGCACAUCGCUCCAAGUACAAACAUGUUGCACUUUCAACUACAGUUGGAUUAGCUAAUAUAAUGAAAGAAAAAAAAUAACCGCAAGUCCUAAGAUGUAUGCAAAAGUUCAAAACGUAACCAAUAAGGUUUGAUUUAUAGGAAAACUAAUAAAAAGGGUUUGAAAACUUUGAGUUUUAAUGAUAAGGACAAAAUAAAGGGUAAAGUGAAUAGUAUCAUGAUUGACUUUUUAAUGUAAAAAUGUGGUUUUUCAUUAAAGUGAACAGUACCAGGUGCUUUUCGUUAAAGUUCCCUUGAUUUAUUCUUCUAUUUUCAAAAGCAAAAAUGCGUGAUCAAAAUAUAAUUUUAAUAUUCUAAACUAAACUUAACCAUAGUCGGCACAUAAACCCGCACUUCAUCGUUUGGAAUCUUCCAUUAGAUUUAUCCUCUUGACUCUUGGGUCGUCUUUUUAUCAAUGGAGACUUGAUGACAAAAUGCUUGAUUAUAUCUCAAGUGGUGGUUGUUGGACGUCAAGAAAAAGAAUACCAGUACUACAAGAAAAGAAAUCAAGACUUCUACUAAGCUUGAUGUAGUGUUCAAUGUAAUCAUACGGAUGGUUGCCAUUUCCAUCUGCCACCGCGUGAAUGACUAAAACAAUUGAACUUAUUUUGACGAAGACAAUUGAACCAAAUGCAGAAAUGACAUAGAAUUCAACCUACGUGCUAGACCAAAGACAGUUGAAUUCGAAUGCAUGGAUGAAUAAAACAACGGGGUCAAUAGUCUAAAGUGGAAGAUAUUUUCACAUACCACUAAGUUUUAGUUUUGAUUUUGUUUUUAUUAUUGUCUAAGAAAAGUUUGUCAUGUGUUUAAAAAAUGCACAAUUUUACCAUAAAUAAUUGCCACGUAGUAAAAUAGUGACAUUAAAAAAUACAUCAUAAAAUACUAUAUCUUAAAACUUUAUUUUAAAAUGUGACUGUCACAUAAUUGUUUAGUAUUAUCAAAUAAAUACACAUGUUAUUAUAAAUUUGUACAUUUUUUUGUCGAAAUAAUAAAUGUAUACAUUGAAACAACAUGGAUCAACAAGUAAACUACCUGAUUUCAAGAACCAGUAGCGUUAAAAAGUGACAUAUAAUAAACUUAAUGACUGGUAACAAUACAACAUAACAAGGAUGUGCCAUCAAACACCUAUUUUUACCUUCCACACACAUUUCUCAAUUUUCGGCCGGUGAGUCGAAUGAAUAGAAGAAUAUCAAAUGGGAAAAAUUUAAUUAACAAAAAGUGCAUGUGAAGUAAAAAUGAGUGUGAAUAACACCACUCUAAACAAAACAUAAAAAUUGCUGAAUUGUAUAACUACACCAUAUAUAUCUAAGACUAACGGGUGGUGCAUAAUAUAUAUUCUGCAAAUGGAGUCCUUUUUGGUGGUGUCUCGCACUUCCGCUUCAAGUAGGUUUCUGAAACAUUCAUAUCCUCUCUCUCGCACCAUAUUCGCACCCUCUUCUUAUCACCCAACUUCCACCGCCACCACCACUGCCACCAGCAAUCCAAACCCUUACCGCUAUCCCAACGUAAGACGGUUAGGCUCGUUCAGUCAAAGGCACCGUGGGGAUACUUGCAGUCGCGUUGGCUUUGAUCACAGACUCGGAUCGCACAUGUCGAGCUCGUCUUCACCUUCUGCUGCCGCAAAGAGAGGUGCAAAUCAAACCAUCAGCAAUGACAACGACAAGGUUGAGGGUACUUGGAUCGAUUUGUACCUGCCAAUGCGAGCUCAGCCUUAUGCUAAGCUCGCUCGCCUCGACAAGCCGAUCGGCACCUGGUUGUAUGCGUGGCCUUUUUGGUGGUAAGUGAAAAGAAUGAGAGGAAAGUUUGAGUAUUAACUGUUAUGUAUUAACUGUUAUAAUUAGGCUUUUUUUUUUUUUUUUUUGGUCAAUAUAAUUAGGCUUAUUUAGAAUUAAGCCCUUGAAACUCUUAUUUUUCAAACAAAAAUUUCACAUAAUUUUAAACAUUCCAAUAAGACCUAAAUUUCUGAUAGAUUGCCAUGCAGACAAAUAUGUAAUGGAACGGUUGUAAAUUCAAGCCUAAGUUUAAUUAAUUCGACAUACACUAGUUUAUUUUUUAAGUUUUUUCUUUAAUUGGUGUGGAACUGGAAGUUAACUAUGCUUAUUGGUGGGUGUAUGCAUGCAGGUCAACAGCAAUGGCAGCAAAUCAAGGGCAGCUUCCUGAUAUUAAGAUUUUGACACUACUUGGAUUUGGAGCUCUGUUUAUUAGGGGCGCCGGAUGCACCAUAAACGAUCUCGUUGACCGAGAUAUUGAUAUCAAGGUAAAAUUAAGUUCAUUAAGGUCAUUUUGUAUGCGAAAUUGAUUUCUGUACACAUUUUUUUCUGCAAACUUUUAUUUAUGUAUGAAAUUCUAAGGAAAACAAUGGUGUACUCAAUUUCUUUUUUGCAUAUUGGUUAGAUAAUGAAUUUAAUCCUUUGGCUACACUUCACAAAUAUUUAUUACGGCGAACUGAUGUCAUCACUUUAUCUUGUUUUUAUUAAUUAUUUAUGCCCAAGCUACGUUAGGAGUAAUUAUUGUCACUUGACGUUAUUUGAUCUAUUAUAUAACUUAAAUUAAAAAAUUAUUAACAUCCCUAAUACUACACAACAUGGUAUAGUAGAAUGGUGUACUGGUGAGACAAACACUAAAAAAUUAUUGUUAAAUCACUUGGGUGACUUGUUUGAAAAUUGAAGUUGAGACUCCGGGGUUUGAAACCUUUGGUUUCACUAGACGUUUACGAUUUCGCUUAUAUCUGGUUUGAAAGCAGCGUAAUAAAUUUCUCUAAUGAUCAGGGGAAAGACGAAGAAAUUUAAUUUUUGAUGAUUAAUACUUUGUUUAUUUGAUAAAAGUUCUGCAAUUGAUUGAUCAGGUGGAACGUACAAAGUCGCGGCCUCUUGCAAGUGGUGUUUUGACACCUUUUCAGGGGAUUUCUUUUCUUGGAUUUCAAUUGCUUUUGGGUCUUGGAAUUUACCUUCAAUUGAAUAAUUAUAGGUAAUUAGCAUCCUUAUCUAAAUUCAUUAGGAUGAUAUUGGAGAGACCAGUUGCUUGAAUUAUAUUUUGUAAAUCACAUGAUGUGGCAGUUGAUAAUUGAUUUCUUCUUUAAAUCAUUAAAACAAUAACUUAACCAUCACCCGCUGCAUCAUGUGAUUUAUAAAAUAUGUUUAAAAACGAUCUCCCUGUUAUUUUUCCUUUAGUUAAUCUGAAUACUUAUUAUGCCAAUAUUAUUAUAAUAUGCUAUGAAUAUGAAACUAGUUUGUGUAACUCAUUAAUUGGAAUUUACAGCUGCGUUUUGUGCGUUUCAUCUUGGUUCCUAAUUUUCACCUAUCCUCUCAUGAAGAGAUUGACAUACUGGGUAAUUGAUUACAAUUUCGUGACUACAUUUAACGACUAAUUACGUCAUUAAGAAGUAUAAUAUGGUAUUAUAUAUCACAUCAUAAUGCAUCUAUAUUUGGUGCAGCCUCAAGCCUAUCUAGGUUUGAUGAUAAAUUGGGGGGCUUUAAUAGGAUGGGCAGCGGUAAAAAGAAGCAUUGAUCCAGCUAUAGUGCUUCCAUUGUACUUUUCUGGAGUAUGCUGGACACUGGUCUAUGAUACCAUAUAUGCACAUCAGGUAAAACAACGAGUAAUGCUAUGCACACCAAACUUUUUUUUACCAAGUUAUGUUCACCAAUUAAAUGCCUUAGAUAUUGUAAGUCAUAUGGUGGGACAGGAGACUGGACCUUACUUAUUUUCAACAAGUAAAACUUUAACAUGACAUAUAAUUUAGUCAUGAAUAAAUUUGGCAAAAAAAUAGUUUGGUGUCUCAAACAUUAUUGAAAACGAACACGUCGCUAUUGUGCUCCUUGUCAAAAGUUGUAAUUUCCAAGAUUUGAGCAUCAUUUAAUUAUGGAAUAAUUAAGUAGUAAAUAAGAUAACUUUUUCGAUGCAAUCCAACAAAAUUAAGAUGUUUUCUGACCAUGCUUGCUUGCAGGACAAGGAAGAUGAUCUGAAAGUAGGUGUUAAGUCUACGGCAUUGAAAUUCGGCGACUCAACCAAAAAAUGGAUUACUGGGUUUGGAAUUAUGUGCAUGAGCAGUCUUGCCCUCAGUGGAUACAGUGCUGAAAUCGGUUAUUGUCUUUUUUCCCCUCUUUAUUUUAAUUUCAUUUUUUUUUUCAUAAUUAAUUUUCUCUUUUACCACAUCUUCACACUCAAACCUUUCAACUAUAUAUGGAGCAGGGUGGCCGUACUAUACAUUUUUGGGGGUUGCAUUUGGACAAUUAGCUUGGCAAAUAUCAACAGUUGAUCUUUCAUCCCCAGCUGAUUGCAGUAGAAAGUACGUGUUGUCUUGGAAAAAAAAACAAUAUUCAGGGCUCAUUUGAAAACCAAUUGGUAUUUAAUUUUGUUUUUAAACAGUUAUCAAACGGGCUCUUAAGCUUACAAGUAUUUAUUAGUUUUGUUUUGCUUUGAACAAGAUAAGAUUAUUGACUAAGCAUUUUUUCUUUUUGUAUUGGUUCCAGAUUUGUGUCGAACAAGUGGUUUGGCGCUAUUUUGUUCAUCGCAAUCCUAUUUGGACGACUUUCAUCUUAAGGUGGUAUAAGGUCUAUUAAUUUUGAGCAUAGUAAGGUUGGUUAUGUGUUCCAUUAAUUCUAAUUUGGGGCUUUUUUGACAGAUAUAGUUCAUCUUUCUCUUGCACUGCAACAGAACUCGUGUAUUGGCAUGGAGGUUGCAAGGUCAUCUAAAUGCAGCACUCAAAUGAGUGCAAGGAUCAAACGUUGUAAUAUUUACUGUUGUGUUUCAAAAAUAGACCAUUUUCUUGGGGCUUUUGGGAACUAAAUGUUGUAAUAUUCAUUUCAAUUUGAAGUCAAACAGCAAAUAUGAUGAAAUUGUUCCAUAUUUAUGCCAAACAAAUGUUUUGGUGCUAUUAUUUUCAGUGGAAUCCAGUUUCAGAAUAUACAUACAGUUACUUGCAAGUUGCAACCUUGAUGCAAACUCGUCUAUAUUAUUAUCGAUAUUUCUCCAAUUAAUAAAUACAAAAUGUCCUUCAACAAAUCCAAAUCCCUCAGAAUGCAUAAGCGUGAUUGCUCUCCUUGAAAAUGGUCCAUGGUGAGAUCGCCUUGUAUUCUGCAAAGAAGGAUGAUUCGUGGUCUCGUUCUGGGCACUUGUCAUCAUCUCUUCUUGCUCGUGCACAAGCUGGAUACAGCACUUCGUUACUCCAAAAAAAUAUCUCAUGUAUAUGAAAUGAAGUAUUGUCACUCCUUCUCCACCUUUCUGUUGACUCCUUAUAUUCCAAUGGCUUAAGAAUAUCAUGUCUGUUGCAAUUUGAUGUUUGAUAUUAUUUUUUUGCUAAUGUCUGGUUUUGGAAAUAAAGUUGAUGAAGAACAAAAAGGAAUGAAGGAGAAAACUUGUAUAUGUCUGUGAAAGGAAGAUUGCGGCUGAAAUCAUAGCAGAGCUUUUUUUUUUUUGGUCAAGGAAUCAUGACACGUGGCUAAAUCUAAGCCAUGUGAGUUAUACAAAGAUGAAAUUGAAUCUAAACCUUACACUUGUCCAAUUUACUAAAGAAACCAUUGCAACUUAAAUCAAAUGAACCAGUAAAAUAAUUUACACUUCAACACUCCCUUUAAAUUGUUGACUGCUUUUAUUCCAAGCAAUACUCUCAAGUAGUUGAAUCAUAGUUGAAUCGAUCCUGACAAUGCCUUAGUGAAUAUGUCUGCAACCUGUUUUACUGGGAAAGCGCUCAUAGGAGCCACGAAUAUACUACAUAAGGGGUUCUUCUAAUCUACAAUACUUCAAAUUCAUAACACAUUCUUGCAAGGCUUCUCAGAUGAAAUGGUAUCUCAUAUUGAUGUUCUUAGUUUUCUGGUGAAAACAUGAUUCUUUGUCAUAGAAAUGGCUGAGGUAUUAUCAACCAUAAGUGGAGUUACUUGUAGCUCCUUGAAAUCAUCAAGCACAAAUCUCAAUCAAAUGGCUUGAGUUGUUGCUUCGGCUGCAUUGACAUACUCAGCUUCUGUAGUUGAAAGUCAAAUACAAUGUCACUGCUACUCUAAUAUACUUCUUACUAGGACAAUGCGUAAAUCUAUCUAGUAAGCAAGCUGCAAACAUGUCUGGCGUUGUGGCUGCUAAAUAUAGCAGACUCCCAACAUUCUGUCUAUACACGUUUUCCUCUGCAGGAUCACUGUUAUCAUUCUUGCACAAUUUCUCACUUGUAACAAGAGGUGUGCUAACUUGCUUGCAGUUCUUGUAUUCAAAUUUAUUCAGCAAAGUCAAUGCAUAUUUCUUUUGACAGGUAAAUAUGCUAUGUAUCAUACCCAUGCCAAGGAAAUGAUACAAGAGCCCCAAGUCAAUCAUUUUAUACCAUGUCAUCAUCUCUGACUUGAAUUCAGCAAGCAACUCUUCACUACUUCUAGUACACACACUAUCAUCAACAUUAAUUGAGACAACUAAAAUUCCAGAAUUCCCCUUGGUCUUGAUGGAUAAUGUUGCCUCACUUGAACUUCUGGUGUAUCCACAGUCAAUGAGAUAUGAGUCGAUUUCUUCAUACCAGGCCCUUGGUACCUGUUUUAUACCAUACAAGGCUUUCUUCAAUUUGUACACUUUGUCUUCAGCAUUUUAACCACAAAACUAUCUGGUUGAUCCACAUAUACCUCCUCCUUUAGUACACCAUUAAGAAAUACAUAUUUGACAUCUGGUUGGAACAAUUUCCAACCCUUUUGUGCUGCUAAAGCAAUGAGAGUCCUGAUGGUAUCUAAUCUGGCCACACGAGUAUCUAUCUCGUUAAAAUCUAUCUCAAGCUUUUUUACAUAGCCCUUGACCACAAGCCUUGCCUUGUGUUUUUUUAUUAAGCCAUCUAAUUUCAGUUUGGUCUUAUUGACCCAUUUGACACCAAUCACUGGUUUUUCUUACUAGUCUAUUAAUUAGUUCUAAUAUUUCAUUCUUCUCAAUCAUCUCCAUUUCAGCUUCUAUGGCCUUUUGCUAAGCCUUGUCCUUUGCAGCUUCUUCAUAGUUUUUUGGCUCAAUUAUGCACAUGUUACACCUUGCAUAUAUCUUACUAAGAUCCUUCAUCUUCACAGGUGUUGAGCUAGGGGUAGUUGCUUCUGUCUCAAAACUAUGUGAACUUGAACCAAUCUCAGAUGAACUUGAGCCAAUUUCAGCUUAAGAAUCAUGAGUGCUAAAGGCUGGAACAUAGGGAAUAAACUGAAAGGUGGAGAGGAAGUGACAGUACUUCAUAUACAUGAGAUAUUCUUUGGAGCACGAAGUACGGUAUCCAACUUGUGCACGAGGAAAAAGAGGAGAUGACAAGCGCCCAAAACGAGUGACAGUACUUCAUAUACAUGAGAUAUUUCAUUGGAGUCCAGCUUGUGCACAAGCAAGAAGGGAAGAUGACAAACGCCCAGAACGAGACCACGGAUCAUCCUUCUUUUCCAUGUGUCAUUUUUGAAAGUUUUGCGGAAUACAAGGUGAUGCCAAGAACAUACUUAUCCCCAUGGACCAUGUUCAAGGCGAGCAAUUACGCUUAUGAUUUGUUGAGGGACAUUUCGUAAUUGUGAAUUGGAGAAAUAACCAAAAUAAUAUAUACGAGUUUGCCUCAAGGUUGCAACUUGCAAAUAAAAAGGGCGACCCCAAGCCAACAAAAGCUAUCUCCUUUGCAAGGAUCAGAGGAACGUCUAUCAUACGUAGCCAUACCUUUGCUUUCCAAGUAAUAUAUAUAAUAUAAUAUAUAUAUAUAUAUGUAUAUUCUGAAAUAUGAUUCCACUGAAAAUAAUAGCACCAAAAACACUUGUUUCAUCACAUCUGCUGUUAGACUUCCCAAUUGAAAUCAAAAUUACAACAUUUAGUCCCAUAAAGCCCCAUGAAAAUGGUCCACUUUUGAGGUACAACGAUAAAUAUUACAGCAUAAACAUUGAUGACCUUGCAACCUUCUUGCCAAUAGACGAGAACAUUGAUGCCCGCAUUUGAGUCCUGCUUUUAGAUGACCUUGCAACCUUCUUGCCAAUAUACGAGAACAGUGCAAGAGAAUGACGAACUGCAUCUGUAAAAAACUCCAAAUUAGAAUUAUUGGAAGACAUAACCAACCUUAAUAUAUGCUAAAAAUUAAUAAACCUUGUACCUCCUUAUGAUGAAAGUCGUCCAAAUAGGAUUGCGAUGAACAUAAUAGCGCCAAACCACUUGUUCGACACAAAUCUGGAACCAGCACAAAAAGAGAAAAGGCUAAGUCAAUAAGCUGAUCUUGUUCGAAGCAAAACAAAACCAAUAAAUACUUGGAAACCUAAGAGCCCGUUUGAUACCAAUUGCUUAUCAAAGGAGCCCUAAAUAGUUUUUUUUUUUUUGCGUGACAACACGUACUUUCUAUUGCAAUCAGCUGAGGAUGAAAGAUUAACUGUUGAUAUUUGCCAAGCUAAUUGUCCAAAUGCAACCCCCAAAAAUGCAUAGUACGGCCACCCUGCUCCAUAUAUAGUUGCAAGAUUUGGGUGUGAAGAUGUGGUAAAAGAGAAAAAAUUUGAAAAAUAUAGGAAAUUAUAAAAAAGACAAUAACCUAUCCCAGCAUUGUAUCCACUGAGGGCAAGACUGCUCAAGCACACGAUUCCAAACCCAGUAAUCCAUUUUUUGGUGGAGUCGCCAAAUUUCAAUGCCGUAGACUUAACACCUACUUUCAAAUCAUCUUCCUUGUCCUGCAAGCAAGCAUGGUCAGAAAACAUCUUAAUUUUGUUGGAUUGCACAUUGAAAAACUUAUCUUAUAUUCUACUUAAUUAUUCCAUAAUUUGAUCACACUCAAAUCUUGGAAAAUACAACUUCUGACAAGGAAAUAGCGACGUGUGUUUUCAAUAAUAUUAAACUAUUUUUCACCAAAUUUAUUUAUGACAAAUUAUGUGUUUGUAGACUGUACACAUGUUAUAGAUUUUGUUGAAAAUAAGUAAGGACCAGUCUCUUUUCCCAACAUAUGACUUACAAAAACUAAGACAUUUUAUUGGUGAAUAAAACUUGGUAAAAAAAAAGUUUGGUGUGCAUAGCAUUAGUCGUUGUUUUACCUGAUGUGCAUAUAUGGUAUCAUAGACAAGUGUCCAGCAUACUGCAGAAAAGUACAAUGGGAGCACUAUAACUGGAUCAAUGCUUCCUUUUACUGUUGCCCAUCCUAAUAAAGCCCCCCAAUUAAUCAUCAAACCUAGAUAGGCUUGAGGCUGCACCAAAUACGCAUUAUUAUGUGAUGUAGAAUACCACAUUAUACAUUAUAACGACGUAAUAAGUCGUUAAAUGCAGUCAUGAGAUUGUAAUUACGUACCCAAUAUGUCAAUCUCUUCAUGAGAGGAUAGGUGAAAAUUAGGAACCAAGAUGAAACCCCCAAAACGCAGCUGUUAAUUCCAAUUAAUGAGUUACACAAGCUAGCUUCAAAUACAUAGCAGAUUAUAAUAAUAUUUGCAUAACAAUUAAUCAGAUUAACUAAAAAUGCUAGGAAUAGUUAAUAUAUUUAAGAUAAUUACGUAUUUACAUACCGUUUCAAUUCAUCCUAUUUCAUCGGAUUCAGAAUGUGAUUGACCAUAUUUUGUAAAUCACAUGAUGCAGCGAGUGAUGGUUGAUAAAUCAAGUAAAUGAUCUCUCUAGAAUCAUUCUAAAUAAAUAUUAGUAAGAAUGCUAAUUACCUAUAAUUGUUUACUUGAAGGAGAGUUCCUAGAACCAAGAGCAAUUGAAAUCCAAGAAAAGAAAUCCCCUGAAAAGGUGUCAAAACACCACUUGCAAGAGGCCGCGACUUUGUACGUUCCACCUGAUCAAUUAAUUGCAGAACUUUUAUCAUAUGAACUAAGUAAUUUUUUUUUUUUAAUCAGAGAACUAAGUAUUUAUAUCAAAGAAUAAAUUUCUUCAUCUUUCCUUUGUACUCUCCACCUCAUAAUAAUUUUUAAAUUAUGUGUCAUAAUAUGAGUAGAUUAAUAAUAUUAGGUGACAAUAAUUAGUCCUGAUGUAGCUGAAAAAGUUUAAGCUAGGGUUCGAAAACUGUGAACUGCAUAAACUCAUCAAGGAGUAUGGUUUAGCUUUCUUACUAUCUACAUCAUUGCAGUAUGGUUUUUAUACAGUUUUACAUACACCCGCAUGCCAUAAACAAUAGUACACGCAUGCAAUAAAUAAUGUGAGAUCAUGCAAUAUUCUUCUGCCCAUCUUCGACAGGACUUCAUGGGUUUCAUUUAGAAUAGUCCUUUCACCAUGUCAGCAGCACAUGGAUUAUAUGUCAGCAGCACAUGGCUUAUACUCAGGUAGUUUGAACUGAAUAUUUGGUUUAUCACGCCCCCGCAAGCUGAGUGGGCGCGGACGAACAGGAAGCUUGGAAAGAAGAUAACUGAACCGUGCGGUGGACAAGCCCUUUGUUAAGAGAUCGGCAAGUUGGUCAGUAGAUGAAACAUAUCCCACAACAAGUUCAUUUCUAGUGACUUUCUCUCGAACAUAAUGAUAAUCAACUUCCACAUGACGCAUACGAGCCUGAUAAACGGGAUUGGAAGCCACUGCCAGUGCACUGAUAUUGUCACACCACAAUUUUGGUGGAGUGAGGGGAAGACGAAGAUCACAAAAAAUGUGUCUGAACCAAGAUAAGGUGGCAGCUGUGUAGGCCAUUUGGCGAUACUCGGCCUCCGUACUUGAGCGAGACACGCCGCGCUGCUUUUUAGAACUCCAGGAGACCAAGUUAUCCCCUAGAAAUAUGCAAUGACCACCAGUGGAGCGACGAUCAUCAGGGUCACCAGCGUAGUCAGCAUUGGCAAAUGCUGUGAGGGACAAAAAACUGGGUUUAUAAACGAGACCGCGAUCAUGAGUGGCUUUCAAAUAGCGAAGAAUGCGUUUGACGGCAACCCAAUGUGUAGUGGUGGGCGAAUGCAUAUACUGGCAGACUUGAUUCACAGCGAAAGCAAUGUCCGGACGUGUGAAUAAGAGAUAUUGGAGGGCCCCAACAAUACUUCGAAAGGUUGUUCCAUCCGCCAAGGGCUCGCCCUCAUACAAACUAAGCUUGCGGCCAGGAGGGCUGGAGUAGAGAGUACAAGGGUUUGGCGUCAGCCAUCUGAGUUCGUUUGAGGAGGUCCAGGAUAUAUUUUGACUGUGUUAAGUACAUGGCCGUUGGCGUUCUCGUAAUUUCCAUUCCCAAAAAAUAAUGCAAGGGACCAAGGUCCUUCAUGGAGAAUUUUCGACCCAAUUGAUGAAUCAAGGUGGAGAUGUGAGCUGGAUUAUUACCGGUGACGAGGAUGUCAUCAACGUAAAUGAGCAAGUAAAUGACAUUAGUUCCAUUGCAGAAAAUGAACAGCGAAGAAUCUGCCAUGGAGGCUUGAAAGCCGAGCUCCUCCAGAUGGUGAGAGAAGCACUGAAACCAGGCACGUGGAGCCUGUUUUAAGCCGUAUAAGGACCGACGAAGACGGCAUACAUGUGACGGAAACUGCGGAUCGACAAAACCAGAAGGUUGGCGCAUGUAGACUUCUUCAUUUAAAGAGCCAUGAAGGAACGCAUUUUUGACGUCAAGUUGGCGAAUUGGCCAGUUAAAAUGAAGAGCCACGGAGAGAAUGAUCCUGAUGGUAGCAUGAGUGACGACGGGACUAAACGUCUCACUGUAAUCAAGCCCUUCUUGUUGAUGGAAACCAUUGGCAACAAGACGUGCUUUAAAUCUUUCAAUGGAACCGUCAGAUUUCCGUUUAAUACGGUAGACCCAUUUAUUUGGUAGGACAUUCAUGGAGGGAUGAGAAGGAACUAGGGACCACGUUCCUAUGCUUUGUAGAGCAUUGAACUCUUCUGCCAUUGCCAUAUGCCAUUCGGGAGACUUAUUUGCCUGUGUAAAACAAGAGGGCUCAACAAGUUCAUUAGUCACAUCAGAAACAAGAGCAUACUUGGGGUUUGGCUUCUGAAUGCCAUCCUUUGAGCGUGUAACCAUGGAGUGAACAGGUUGAAUUUGUCUCUGAGAGGAAGGUGAGACAGGAGCAACACCCACUGCAGUCGUAGGGGAUGGAAUGGAAGAAGGGGCAGGGAGGUGCGGAUUUGGUGGGAAAUUAGAGGAAAUAGGGUUAGGUUGGGGGGAUGGUAUAGUGGGAUGCAUGUGAUGUUGCGGAUGUGGUGGUAAAGGGCAGGGAAUAGGACUAGGGUUAGGUGGGUGAGAUAAUAUGGGGAAUAAGUUGGACGGAUGCGGGUUUGGUGGUACAGUUGGGAAAAUGGGGUUCCUAGAGGGAUAAUGGAAAGAAGAGGGGUCAAUGUUCAGUACCAUAGACGAUUGGGAGGAUGAGGACGUUGUAGAAAUGGAUUCUUUGUAUGGAAAAUUGGUUUCAUCAAAUAGGACAUGGCGUGACAAAAAAAUGCGACCUGUGGACGUAUCUAAACACCUAUAACCUUGUUGAUUUAAUGAAUAACCUAAGAAAAUGCAACGUUUGGAGCGAAAUUGCAGCUUGUUAGUAUUAUAAGGACGAAGAAAUGGAAAACAUGCACACCCAAAAACUUUAAGAAAAUCAUAUUGAGGAGAUUUUUGAAACAGUUUUUGAAAGGGAGACUCAUCAUGGAGAACUUUAGUGGGUAAACGAUUGAUCAAAUAGUUUGCUGUAUGGAAAGCAUCAUCCCAAAAAGAAGUUGGUAAGGAGGAAUGAGCAAGAAGAGUGAGACCAGUUUCAACGAUAUGACGGUGUUUACGUUCGGAAAUUCCAUUUUGUUCAGGAUGAUGUGGACAUGUAAAACGAUGUAGAAUGCCAUGUUGAGUCAAAAAAAUUUUGAAUUUGUUGUUUACGUACUCCCCUCCUCCAUCAGUUUGAAAGGAUUUAAUUGUAGUGUGGAACAUGUUUCAACCAGUUUCUUAAAGGACACAAAAGUGAGAAAAACAUCAGAUUUUAAUUUUAAGGGAUAUGGCCAAGAGUAGCGAGAAAAAUCAUCAAUAAAUACGACAUAAUAUUUAAAACCAUUGAUAGAAAAAGAAGGUGAAGUCCAUACAUCGGAAUGAACCAAUUGUAAAGGAGAUGAAGACCUAGAGACAGACAAUGGAAAAGGUAACUUGUGACUCUUGCCCAUGGGACAUGAGUGACAUAACUCACUAGUUACAACGCCCUUAAUAGGCAAUUUGUUCCUAGAAACCAAAUUUUGCAAAAUAUGAGAAGAUGGAUGACCUAACCUAGAGUGCCAGAUUGAAUUGGACACUCUAGUUCCUAAAAAUGCAGACACGCCUUUAAUGGAAGAUGAAACACCAGAAAAAGGGUAGAAUCCAUUCCUACUCGGGCCUUGUAAAAGCAUCCUCCCCGUGUGAAGUUCCUGAACACAGUAUGAGUUGGGAUAUAAGGUUAGAGAACAGUUAUUAUCGGUAGUAAAACGAUGGAUAGAAAUAAUAUUGGUUGAUGCAUUAGGGCAUAGUAGUGUAUUAGGUAAUGUGAAAGUAGAGGUAGGUGUACGAAUGGAAGUGUUGCCUAUGUGUGAAAUUUGCAAACCUGUGCCACCAACAACUCCAUUGACUUGGUCCAUGCCAGUAUAAGGAUGAGGAUGCGCAACAGUAGCAAGAUUAUUGGUGAUGUGAGCAUUGGCCCCGGAGUCAAACAGCCAUUCCUGUAUGGCAGAUGCUGUUGCAGAAGCAGGAGGAGCACGAGCAGCAAAGGCUUGAAGACGUGGUGCAGGGACACGUCCCUCAUAAGACAUAUUUAGGCGGUUGAAGCAGUCAAUCGCAGAAUGACCAUAACGAUUACAUAUUUGGCAUUGAAUCCGGCUUGUAGUAAAAGUACCUUGGGAAGGAGAGGUGCCAAGAAUCCCAUCAUGUGGGCGGGAGUGGGAUACUUGGUGACAGUUGGACCCUUGGUGAUAGUAGGAACCUUGGUGAGAGGGUGAGGAGCUGUAGUGGCGAUUGGUAGAGCCGCGACCAGUAUUGAAGUUACUACGACCACGGAAGCCAGUAGAGGAUCCUCGUCCUCGAGAAGAUGCAGGUGCGCGGUUGCCAUUGCGAACGGUGGCAAGGACAGUGAGCCCACUGUCAGUAUCAAAUGCGGAAUGUAUUUGUUGUCGUCUUUCAGCGCCAAGGAGGAGGGCUUCCAAAGCACUGUAGGUAAUAGCCUCAUCACGGGCUUGAGCGGAAGCAACGGUACUUUCAUAGGCCGGACCAACGUUGUUGAGGAUGAUGGCAACGAUGUCGGAGUCGGAAACAGGAGCACCAGAGAGAGAGAGGGUAUCUGCGAGACAAUUAAUUUUAUCCAAAAAUUCAGAAAUGGAAGAAUCACCUCGGUGAGUAUUCAUCAACUCACUACGAAGCUGGAGAAGGCGACCGGUGGGCUGAGAAGCAUAACGAUCACGUAGUGUUGUCCAGGCAGAGUGGGAGCUGGUUUUCCCAAUUAAAGCAGCAAGCACGGUAGGAUGGACGGAGGAGUUGAUCCAUGACAUAACAGUUGCAUCCUGUUGUAUCCAAGUGUCGAAAUCAGGGUUGACUUUGUCAGUGAUGUUUCCAUCCUCAUCUGUCAGCAAUGCUGGGGGACACUUACUAGUUCCAUCAACAAAGGAAACCAGAUUUCGACUGCGGAGGAGAGGUAGCAUUUGGGCUUGCCAGAGAGGGUAGUUGGUACGAUCAAGUUUGAUCGUGAGAAAAUUGGAGACAUUAGGAAGGGGAAUGGGAGAGGAAGAUUGAGAAGCCAUGGGAGAACGGGGAAAAAAAAAAUUAUUGUCGCUAGACUUUAGCUCUUUGAUACCAUGAAAAAGUUUAAGCUAGGGUUCGAAAACUGUGAACUGCAUAAACUCAUCAAGGAGUAUGGUUUAGCUUUCUUACUAUCUACAUCAUUGCAGUAUGGUUUUUAUACAGUUUUACAUACACCCGCAUGCCAUAAACAAUAGUACACGCAUGCAAUAAAUAAUGUGAGAUCAUGCAAUAUUCUUCUGCCCAUCUUCGACAGGACUUCAUGGGUUUCAUUUAGAAUAGUCCUUUCACCAUGUCAGCAGCACAUGGAUUAUAUGUCAGCAGCACAUGGCUUAUACUCAGGUAGUUUGAACUGAAUAUUUGGUUUAUCAGUAGCAUCCAUGUAUGUGCAUAACAUUAAAAAUUAAAAACAAGAUGACAUCAGUUCACCGUAAUAAAUAUGUUGUGAAAUGCAGCCGAGGGACUAAAUUCAGUAGCUAACCAAUAUGCAGAAAGAAAAUUUCAUAAAUAAAUAAAAGUGUGCAGAAAAAAAAAAGUGCAUAUAAAUCAGUUUCGUAUACAAAAUGACCAUAUAUAAUGGACUUAGUUUACCUUGCCAUCAAUAUCCCGGUCAAGGAGAUCGUUUAUGGUGCACGAGGCGCCCCUAGUAAACAGAGCUCCAAAUCCAAAUAGUAUCAACAUCAUAAUAUCAGGAAGCUGUCCUGGACUUGCAGCCAGUGCUGUUGACCUGCAUGCACCCACCAUAAGCAUAAUUAACUUCCAGUUAAAACAAAUUAAUUAAUUACGUCGACGUUGCCAACGUUUAGAGUGCAACUUAUCCGAUAUGAAUAUAAUGUCGCUGUAACAACUCAUACAAGUGAUAUGUAACACGACAUCAAAAAGAUUUGUACAUUAUAUCAUUGAUACUUGACACCAAAAUACCCUUGCCAUAUAUGUAAAUCUUUUUCUAGCAAAUGUUAGAGCAUCUUCAAUCUUGGAGAUGCAUAUGUAGGUGGAAAUUGGAAAGCCACUUUUAUAUUUUCAUAUACAUCUAUGGAGAUGUAAAUUUUAGUUUUGCUCCAAUGCAUAAAUGUAAAUGAGGAGAUCAAAAUUUUAAUUUAUUCGCUUUUGUGUAAUUUAUUUUCUUGUUAACUCUUAAAAAAAUAUUAACGUAACUAUUUUCUUCCGCACAAUUCGAUCAAAAACAUUCAAAAUUUGGACAGCAUCGAUUUCAUCUCAUUUGGACGUUGGUUUCAUCAGAAGAAGGUUGAAGUAAAACUAGAAAAAAAAUUUGGAUGAGGAAGUGUUUUGUGUGAGAAUUGAAAGAAAAGAAAACUGGUGACUAGAUGAACAAACGUAAUGCCUAUGUUAAGGGGAACUUUUUUUCAAAAGAAAACUAAUGAAAAUGACUUUAAAACUUUGAGUUUUAACGAAAAUGACAAAAUAAAGAGUAAAGUGAAUAAUAACAGUAUUGAUUUUUUAGUGUAAAAAUAUGGUUUUUCAUUAAAAUGAACAGUAGCUUUUCGUUAAAGUUCAUUUUUUUCAAAUGGUUUUUUUUUUUAUUUUGGGCGAUUAAAUAGUAUUUUUUGGAUUAUUUACAACCAUUUGAUUAAACUUUGCAUGAAUCAUGACCUUCCAAAUGCGUGGCGAGUAUUAUUUGCGCGUGGGAGCGCGUUUGCUUGCUUUUCUUUCCUCUUCCACGUGAACCUCUCUGCAAGACUGGCGCAGAUUCCGGCCAUGUAAGAUGCUCUUCGAAAGAAUAACUUAACUGUAAGUUUGCACCUUUACGUGCCUUUAUCCGGUGAGUUGCAAAUUUUGUAACUCAUACAUCUGUAAGACCGAAGGAGAAUCCGGCCAACCAAGAUGUAAAAGUGGGUUUACGACCUCAUUUGCAUCUUGGAUUGGACAUGCACCUAAAACAAUGUUUUUUAGCCUAAACGGUUUGUCUCUUCACUUUGGUUCUUGUGAUUUAAAUUUGAUAUAAAUAUUCCGUGAGAUUCUCCACUCCCAAUCAUUUUAGUCAUUCUAUGAAAAAUCUCCGCUAAAUUGAAGAAACCACCAAUUCAAAGGGGGAGGGGUUGAUUUGACAAAAAUACUCUCAAUUUAACGGAGAUUUCUCACAGAAUAACUAAAAUGAUUUAUGGUGGACAAUCUCAUGACCACUUCAUUUUAAAUCUCAGAGAGAAGUUAUGUCAUUCCUUUCUUCUACAUUCCUUUCACUUACCACAAAGAAGGCCAAGCAAACAGCCAGGUGCCGAUCGGCUUGUCGAGGCGGGCGAGCUUAGCAUAAGGCUGAGCUUGCAUUGGCAGGUACAAGUCGAUCCAAGAACCCUCAGCCUUGUUGUUUUCAUCGCCGCUGGUUUGAUUUCCACCCUUCUUUGGCAUAGUAGAUGGUGAAGACGAGCUCGAGAUGUACGAUCUGAGUCUGAGAUCGAAGUCAAAGUGACUGGAAGUAUCCCGACGACAGUGCCUUUGACUGAAUGAGCCCAACCGUCUUGCGUUGGGAUAGCGGUAAGGGCUUGGAUUGCUGGUGGCAGUGGUGGUGGUGGUGGUGGAAAUUGGGUGAUAAGAAGAUGCUGCGAAGAGGGUGCCAGAGAGAGAACGUGAAGGUUUCAGAGACACCACCAAAGACUCCAUUUGUCAGAAUAUUUCACUCAAAGAUGCAGCACACUUUGGUCUCUUCGAUAUGGAGUAGUUAUACAAUUUAUGCUAUUUUAUGUUUUGUUUUGUUGUAUUGUUGACAGCUAUUAAUUUAUUAUAGGGGAAUUUUGAUAUAUGGACUCCUCGUUUUUAAAUGUCAUAGAUUAAACAUCUAUUUCUUUUGAAAUUUUGAUUAAACAUCUUCCUUACAAUUUUGGUGCUUAAUAUCAUUUCAUUUUAUUUUCUUAGAAGUCUAUUCAUGUUUUUUUUAUUGAAAUAUUUAUGUUAGUAAAUUAAAUAGAAGGUAAAAUAAACUUCUUGUUAGGUACGUUUGGUUAUAUCGGUAUGUUUGAUUAUAUCGGUACAUUUGGUUACUUAUAAGAUGAAUAUAUUUGAUUUAUGGUAUAUCUAAAUUUUUGGUACAUUUAAUUUCUUGAUACAUUUGAAUUUUUGGUACAUUUAGUUUCUUGGUACAUUUGAAUUUUUGAUAUGUUUGUUUUCAUUACUUUUUUUUUUUACUAAUAAUGAGGAAUUACUUUAAUUAUUAUUUUUUUUACAGAAAGAAACAUUAAUUAAAAACAUAGGAGUUUAAAUUACUUUAAUUAGUUAUUUUUUAUAGAAAGAGUCAUUAAAACGUAGGAGUUUAAAGGACUGGGAAAUUAAUUUCCUAGAUUGUAGGCAAUUAGUUAAAAAGUGAAGUGAAGCUGCCUUUAAACUAAUUAUAGGUAAUUUUAAAAAAGAAAAAUGUUGACGUGGCAAUUGGUCAAAGCCUCUUAAUCUAAUGUUAAAAAAGGAACCAGUGUUUGAUCUAAAAAGUAUUAAAAAAUGCAGGAGAUUCUAAUUUCUCCUUUCUUAAUGUCACAUUUUAACGCUACUUGUUCUUGAAAUCAAGCAUAUUACUUGUUGGUCCAUGUUGAUGCAAUAUAUUCAUUUAUAAUAACACGCAUUUAAUUUCUAAUACUAAGCGACAAUGAGACGGUCACAUUUGAAGAAAGAAAAAAUCUUCGGAUAUAGUUUUUUUAGGAUGUAUUUUCUCAGGUCACCAUUUUACGAUGUGGUGAUUGGUUAUUAGAAAGAUUUUAUAUUUUUUUAACACAUAACAAACGUUUAUUAGACAAUAACACUAACAAAAUUAAAACUUACUUGUAUGAAAAAAUGUCUCCCACUUUAGAGUUUAGACCUCUUUGUUUUAGUCAUCCAUGUAUUUAGUUCAACGGUAAUGCUAGCAAUACCAUCUAUUUAAACGAAAUUUUGUAAACUAUAUGACGUGGUUGUUGAUGAUUUGAUUACUAAUUAAGUAUUGAUUAACGUACUUAUUUUCUAUGGACGAUGCAUCACAAAGUUUACAAAUUUGAUCUAAAAAUUGAUCUACAUAAUUAUCAUUAGUUCAAUUGUCUUAAUCAAGCAAAUAAGUUAAGAUUAGUCAAGAAUUGUCUUAAUCAAGCAAAUAAGUUAAGAUUAGCCGAUGCAUCACAAAGUUUACAAAUUUGAUCUAAAAAAAAAGUUUUUUUUUUCAAUGCAUAGUGAACAAUGCCCAUUUAAUGAAAUUUUCAAAUGACAAGUAUAUCACCACAUAUUUUACAAAAUUACAAUCUUUGCCACUGCAUUAUUCUUUUUGGCAACUAUUAUAUGACAUUCAAUAUCAUAUUAUUUUUAGUCAUUUAACAUAUUCAUAACAGUUUCAUAUAAAACAUUACCAAAUACUUAGAUAUUGUUUUCUGUUAAAAGCAUUUUUAAAAAGAAAAAUAAAAAAGGUUUACCAAACAUUCAACAACUUUAUUUUACAGCUAUUUGUUCUUACAACAUAGCAGCAAUAAUUUUGUAGAAUAAUCAUAGCAAUACCAAACUGGCCCUAAGAUAUGCCAAAUAUCCUGGUUUUUGCUCUUUGUGAGUUUAAUUUUCCUAUGAGGGGCAUAAAUAUGUGAAUUGUAAUAACGCAAGGUUCAUAAUCUCCCGUUACUCUUGUUUGGUAUUAUUUUCUACAUUUAACAUAAAUUUGAAAUCACUUAGUACUACGGUCUGGUGGUAUUCCUCUUUACUUAGAAAUGAGAGGUCUUAGGUUCGAAUAUAGUGGAUGGCGAAUUCGAUACUAAAUUAGACUGCCUAUUGUGUGGCUUAACCGAACUCUCCCUCCCCCUAAUGUAAAAAUAUCAAUGUACAUAUAAAAAAAAUUAAAAAAAACAUAAAUUUGAAAAUGAAGAACCGCCAGUAGGUUCCAAAGAGCCAGGAGGAUCCUAGGGAUCCUCUUUGUGAGGAUUCUGGGGAUCCUCCAAUCACAUCUGUUGCGGUCAGAAAUCAGUAUAAAUUUUUUUAUGUAAAAUUGAAUAUAAACCGUAUCUGACAAAAAUAGUAUAUAAUGAACGGAUGUGAUUGGAGGAUCUUGGGAUCCUUACAAAGAGGAUCCGGCGAGGAUCCUCUCCCUCCAAAGAGUGUAUGACCCUUUGCCUUAAAAAAAUAGUAAUAUUUUAAUACGAAUUGUUUGGGUUAUUCAGUUUAGGGAUAAAGAUACACUUGGACAAUUACUUUUCACUUGGGGAAUUAUAUUGCCUAUUGCCCAAGGGGUUUUUUAGGGGUACAACUGCUCAUAUGAAGAGGUAAUAUCCGUAGAGGAGACAAGCAUCUAGCUUGUUCAUGAGCAAGAAGAAGAUGAGCAACCAAGUACACAAUCCUAUGGCUCCUUUUUCUAAUGAUUUUGAGCCGAUCUGAGUUUAUGUAUUUUUAUUAAUGGAACCAGCUCAUCUGGAUCCGUUUGAUACGAUCCAGUUUCUAGGGGGUAGAAUGGAUAUCCGUAGAGGAGACAACUGCUCAUAUGAAGAGGUAAUAUCCGUAGAGGAGACAAGCAUCUAGCUUGUUCAUGAGCAAGAAGAAGAUGAGCGACAAAGUACACGAUCCUAUGGCUCCUUUUUCUAAUGAUUUUUAGCCGAUCUGAGUUUAUGUAUUUUUAUUAAUGGAACCGGCUCAUCUGGAUCCGUUUGAUACGAUCCAGUUUCUAGGGGGUAGAAUGGAUAUGUUUCCAAUCGUAUGUCGUUUAGCAUAACAACAACAUAAAACAAUCUCUAUGGUUUUCCAUUAAGAAAGAAUUACGUCUAACAAGGUCAAUAACAAUAAUCGUCAUUUUACUUUUUCUAGGGUUACAUAGAUAUGAUAUUAUAGAUCAUGGGCUUCAUUAUGGACUAUUAAUAAAAUGACAAGUGCUAAGACAAUCCUUAAACGGUCCAGGCCGAGUUACCCAUACAUAAGAAAUAUGAACUUGGUUUUGGACUCGUUUUUACAUAAGCUGGGUCCAACUCGGAUCGGUUUGAAAAUCAAAAGUACGAAGUGAAUGAUUUUACAUUGGGCCGGUAAUAUGGUUCGGAUCCACAGGUCCAAAGACCCAUGGUAACUACAUUCAACUUUUACUUUUCGAAAGGAUAAAAAUUGAAAGUCAAAAUUAAAAAACUCAAGAAAGUAGUGUUUACAUUUUGUUUUUAUUUAUUAUUAUUAUUAUUAUUAUUAUUUUAAUUGAAAGUUAAAAGUAGUUACCAAAAGAGUUUUCAUUUAAAAAAAAAAACGAAAAACUAAAAGUUGAAAACGAAAUGGUGGAUAGCCUUCAACAAGUCAGUUUAGUGCUAGAAAAUUAAAACAUGUGCUUCACCUUGUAUUCAAACACACUAUAUCAAACACUUUACUAUUGUAAAAGUUUUAUGAACUGAUCCUCUCAAAAUGGAGAUCAGAUUGACUAUCGCAUACAAGUUAUUAUUAUUGUUGUGGCGAGAAUGUUUGAGUUGUGCAAUGGUAUUGGUGGGGGAAGUGCACUCGGGAGUAGGGUUCUGGUAAACCUGCUAUUUACUUAAUUUGUUCAGUUAGAGUUUACUAUUUGUACCAUGUAAACAAUUUGACGCAUUUAUCAACAUAUUUUGACAACAUAUAUAGUCAAGUGAUACACGAGUUGAAUUUUAGGGAGUUCAGUGCCAAAAUUUGAGUUUCAAAAGGUUAAGUGAGACUUGGUUAAGAAGUGUAGAAGUAAUUAAGCCUUAAAAAAACAUGUAAAGGAGAUGGGCAUCCGGCUUGUGCAUGAGUUCUAGUAGCGAAGCCAACAUGGGGUCAUUGGUUGUCCUUGACCCCAACAACUUCAAAAACCCCAUGUAUAUUUAUUUGUAUAUUAUAUUUGACCACUAUAAACAGCUAAGGAAACUAAAUUACAACCUUAUCCUCCUACUUUUAUUUUCUUCUAUCAUAUUUGUCUUCAUUUUCUCUCUUCUUGUAAAAAAUACUUUAGUUGAAAUGCCUUGACAGUCUUCAAUUAUUGCAGUAUCCUGCAUGCACACAAGCCUCUACAAAUGUUGACGUAUGUCGGCAUAAACAUUCGGCAUGUCUUGAGAGGAAUUAGAAGGUGCCUACUAGAUGCUUGAUGAAAUGGAAACUUUUUUUAUUAAUAUUAUGACCCCAUUAUUUGAAAAUUCUGGCUACGUCACUGGUUCUAUGUGACGUUUUUAAACAUUUGGCUAGAUUUCGGGGUUGAUGCCAAGAACCUACAUCCUGUCCUAUAGGCCAGCAUCAAGGAGAGCAAUGAGGUUCAGUUCCUUAAUGCUACUUAUGCGUUCUUGUUGCUUUGUUUUGUUGUUUUUACUAGGGUUCCGAAACAAUUGAAGGUCUUGCCUUGACUAAUCCAAAUGAUGCAGCCCUGGAAAGUAAUGCUUUUGCAAGAAUGUGUACAACCCGAAACUACUCCAGCUUAGCCAUGUACGACUCAAAGGAAGGUAUAAAGAACUACCAAAAGGAUUAAGAUUGCUGUGUUGGCUUGAAUUUCCUUUCGAGUGCUUGGUUUAUCUUGAAAUGAAUCACAGUAUCUUGAGACGAGUCUUUACCCGGAAAUAAAACUUGAGACGGGUCUUCAAGGCAAGAAAGAUGUAUUACUGCUUCAGGGUGUUUUACCAUGAAUAUCCAAAUUAACUCCUCGCCUUCUUUCUCUCUUCCGUUUCGUUUUUCAGUGCCUUCCCGCAUUGAAGACCCUUGAUCUAAGUCAAUCUCACAGCCUUACUGAAAUUGGUAUCUUCUCGCUGCUCCCCAAUUUGGAAGAAUUACAGACUGUAUAAACUUGGUUUAUGUCCCUGAGUUCAUUGUAAACCUAAAAAGGCUCUACUUUAUAAAGAUUAGGAAGCUUGAAUCUCUGUAAGGGUUAGAUUUAGCCGAUAUUCGAAUGGCUCAAAUACUCAUGAACGCCACUGCAAUGGUCGAAUCAUGCAUAAGAGAAAUCCAAUGACAUAUUGGUGGCAGGGUUGAGGAUUACUAGCGGCUUAUUUCAGAUCAUUGCUUCUGGGUACAGGUCUUGCAAAAUUUCUGGCACCAGCAAAACUGAAACCGAGUUUGAGCCAGCUGAUCAAAUCAAAGUGUAGAUGCCAAGAAUACAACCAUUUAAGUUAGAAAGAGCAACUUCAUGACGGUUUCGUAUAGCUGUUAUGAAUCUCCCAAUUCAAAUGGGAAAAAAGCAGCUCAAGCCUUCGUCCCAAUGUUCAUCAUUGGCCUUUUCCAUCUUGCUCCACAGUUUAGCAAUCAAAGAUCGAACAUUUUGCAGCAAUAAGAGAUGAAGCAAGCCUCAAAAGAUGACGACUCCGCGAGGCAGUCAGACUAGAGGUGAGAAACCGAGACUGUAUCGGCAGUGGACGUGUUUUUUAAAAAGGUUGGAUAAUCGAGGGCGACAUUUCAUGGCGCCAACUUAAAUUUUAACUCCCCGUAAACAAACUGAUGGCGCCAAUUGAAAUACAAAGAUAAACCCAAAUCAAAACGCUGCACGCCCAAGUUAAUUGAUGGCGCCAUUGAAAGAGCAUCUAAAAUCCUAACUUUCCUUUCAUAUUCUACCGAUUUUCUGAAUUUUCACCCCUUUCUGCAGGCAACACAGAUUCAAACGGAUUGGAGACAUCGAAAGAUUUCCCCAAAACCAAAUCCCCCCUUUUCAAACACCAUUGUGGCAAAAACUUUCCAAAAUCAAAUGAAACUGUAAACUCCGGAAUAUGCAAAAAAACCAUCUUACCCCAUUCAUGAUUUGAAAAUUUGAAACAGCACAAGUACAGAAAUAGGGUUUUGAUUUCCAAUUCGAGAGAUUACAGAAUCCAAGUUCAUCAAUCCAUACCAGUACAGAUUUCAGAUAAUAUAAGCCAUAGUAUUUCAUUCAAAAGAAAGAUAAGCAAAUUACAUAUCUACUAAUUCGAAACCCUAAACACUAAACACAUAAAGAUCCAAUCUUCCAAACCCUAAAAGACCCUGAACCCACCACACUUCAAGAGCUGGUAAACUUGGUCACCGCCUUAGUCCCCUCGGACACCGCAUGCUUAGCGAGCUCACCAGGAAGCACCAAUCUCACAGCAGUCUGGAUCUCCCGAGAAGUGAUGGUGGGCUUCUUGUUGUACCUGGCGAGCCUGGAGGACUCCUGGGCGAGCUUCUCGAAGAUGUCGUUGAUGAAGCUGUUCAUGAUCCCCAUGGCCUUGCUGGAGAUUCCGAUGUCAGGGUGGACCUGCUUCAGGACCUUGAAGAUGUAGAUCUUGUAGGUCUCCACGCUCUUCUUCGAUCUCUUCUUCUUCUUGUCGCCGGCGGCGGCUCCAGCCUCCUUCGGGAGCUUCUUCCCGGCCUUGGGCUUCUUCUCGGCGGGGGCCUUCUCAGCGACAG